UUUUUUUUUUUGUGAGCAAAUAUAAUUUCAUAGUUUAGGGAACCAAAGGACCUACUAAUCCAAAUAUUUAACUUUCCUUUUGCAGCAUUUUAUUAUUACAUAUAUUUUAUCACUUCUUCUGUUUUAUUUUAUACUUUAUAUGAUAAUAUUUGAAUAAGCAUAAAUCCUUUUUUUUAAUUAAAGAACUUCGGACGUAUACCAAAUUUCACUUAGAACUGUGGUUGAAACAUGACAAUACGACAUGAUAUUUUUAUCGUUAUAAGAGUAUGUUAUUUUUCCAAGAUCGGAAUGACUAAAGUUCCUCUAAAAAGGAAAAAAGAAAAUAGAGAAAACCCAGCUGCAAAGAUUUUAAUAUACAUGUGAACAAUCAGACUUUUAUCCACCAACAAAAUAGAAAGUAGUUACAAAAUAUCAUUUUCAACUCUUGAGAGUAACCGAAUGACAGAACCAGUAUUUUGCAUUGUUUUAUUUGAUUUAACAUCAUCAAAAUACAUUUUUUAUGACUUGAAUAGAAAAGACUCAUAUCUAGUUGGCCCACAAAUAUCUUUGUCUAAAUCCCUUUAUUGCAAAUUGGGUCAUUUUGGUGCACACUUCUUUCUCACAAUUACACCAAUAAUACAUAUAGCUUAAGCAAUUACAAUUACAACAACUAUACCUUAUGCCUCAGCUCCAAACAAGUUGGAGUCGGUUGUAUGAAUUACCACAACUUGAGCAAUUACAAGUAGAGUGAGUAAUUUACAAAGUGCACAAAGUAGGUAAUAGUUCAAUUAUUCAUCGAUAACACAUGAAAUGAAACAAAGCAAUUCUUUGGAUAAGCAUAUUAGCUGCUCCUAUAGAAAGUCUUGUCCUGAAAAACAUUGUGCAUCACCAGUCAUUGUUCAUUACAAACCAACCUCACUAUGUAGUCUACGAAUUCCGUAGCAGCAAAAUCAUUCUCUGCAGAAGUUGAAGCUCUGGUCAACACCAGAAACUUAGUCAAGGAAGAAUCAUGUUCAUAAACUUUCUCUUGGCAAAUGCUAACCACCAUUUGUUAGGAGUUCCAUUAUGUCGAUAAGCAACACUUAAUAAUCUCCCACUAGUUUCCUCCCUUAUUUGCCUUAGGUAAUUCCUGAAUAGUUCUGAGUUCAAAUGUGACAACCCAAACAAAAAGAUGAGAAACCAUCCGUCUAAAAGCCAUACAAAUACAACGGAGAAGAAAAAGAACAAGACCACAAAAAGAGUAAAUGUCGUCUAAUCUCUGAGGUAUACAGUUUUCGGAGGAUAUAGAACAAAUGCAAAAUGGCAUCUUGAUGCCUAUUAAAGCAAAAGUGAAACAAAAGUGUAAGAGACAUUAUGUUACAGUCCAUUUAACAAGAAUUAUCCUUUUGGAAGUCAGUUACCAAACAUUGCAAAGGUGUCACCAAAAGAGGUGCUACACCAUUUCAAUAUACCCCAACAGGAGAAAAAGAAUAGGAAAUUCAUGAUAAAGGAUGUGCCUUUUAAUUCCAAUAUACAAUCAAACUAAAUGCUUCAAAACAGGCGUGACAGCAUAAAUGGGCAAUAUAGCACAUCAACUUUCACAUAGAACGUAAAAUAAAGCAGUUUUCCAGUUAUUCUAACAAGAAUUUUACAGUUAUAUUUAGCUGAAAAGAGGAAGGAAAAAGCGGUUAUGAGAAAGAAAAACAAAUUGUCAUUUCACUUUCUAAACCACAUCAAUCUGUCAACUUCAGAGACCCUAAGCUGAAAGUCAUUUUCUAAAUUAAUAUACAACAACUCUUUCCUCCCAUCAGAUUCCUCCCCCAAAAUAACAUUAGUUCAUAUACUUUUGGAACAAUUUGUGGCCAUAGGAGGAGAUUUAAAAGCUAGACAUCACUGCAUAAAAUGACCCAAGCGAUCUCCAAAUUGUUAGCAACAAUUUUCUGACAGACCGCCAAUGAUCAGCUCAUAAGAUGACAACUAUUCACUGACUCCUAUGAUCACAAUAUGAUCACAACUAUUCAUAAGUGUUUUCACUCCAUCAACCGACAUUGACUUAAUAAGAAAGAGAUUCCUAAUCCCAAGUUUUGUUACUGUUAGUUUACAGCUAUGUAUAUAGUGUAGUCUUGUCCCACAUUGGAAUAGGAGUAAUAUGUCCUUAUAUAGUAUAGCUAUAAAUAAGGACCUCUUGUAUUGUAUUGAACAUCCUAUGUCAAUAACAUAUUUUCUCCCGUGCCUUCUCACAUGGUAUCAGAGAUUUAUCACUGUGCAUAAAUUCCAGCGAUUCCGAGAAGAGAAAUCAGUCAGCGGAAGUCUUUUUCCGGCGACUCUUUUUUAAGAUUGUUUUGCGUCUGCUUCGUCUCUGUCAGUGUUGUUCAAAAUUCAACACUACCACAAGAGUCGUCACUGUCCGGCGACCAAACCCCAGUGAAAAAAUCCGUCAGCAGCCUCCUCCACGCGCCACCAGAAGCUCACGCGCCUGCGCGUACGACCACUUCUGGCCAUUUUUUGAAAAACUUCCUUCAGAACAGUUGGGUCGCCUGGUAAUUUCGAUCCCACCCCUACUGUUUUCAUUUCAUUUCGACCACUUUGAGUUUUUCCGGCAGCUACAGUACUAUUCCGACAUGUACAGUAAGAUUCCGUCAGCUACAGUAUUUCAUUAUUCUGUUUCUGUGUUUCCUUACUAUGUUUCAGUGGAUUACAGUUGAUUCUUUCUCUUAUUUGGUAAUAAUUUGCAAUAAUGUCUUUGGGAUUUGAUGCUUUUGGGUCUAGAAACAUGAGCUCUAGUGCUAUUAUUACCUCGGAACCUUUAAUGGGAGGUUCAAACUACUUGACUUGGGCUUCAUUUGUCGAGUUGUGGUGUAGAGACCAAGGUAUUCAAGAUCAUCUAAUCAAACAGUCUAGCGAAGGAGAUGAAAAAGCAAUAGCACUUUGGGCAAAAAAUCGAUGCUCAGUUAUGUAGCAUCUUGUGGCGAUCUAUUGAUUCCAAGUCAAUGCCCUUGUUUCGUCCAUUCCAGACAUGUUAUUUGGUUUGGGCAAAGGCACGCACCUUAUACACUAAUGACAUAUCUCGCUUCUAUGAUGUGAUAUCGCGGAUGACAAACUUAAAGAAGCAGGAAUUAGAUAUGUCUACUUACUUGGGUCAACUACAGGCAGUCAUGGAGGAAUUUGAGAAGUUGAUGUCAGUUUCUGCUAGUGUUGAAAAACAACAAGAGCAGCGACAGAAGAUGUUUCUCGUUCUUACCCUCGCUGGACUUCCUAAUGAUCUUGAUUCAGUACGCGACCAGAUUUUGGCUAGUCUGACUGUCCCGACAGUUNNNNNNNNNNNNNNNNNNNNNNNNNNNNNNNNNNNNNNNNNNNNNNNNNNNNNNNNNNNNNNNNNNNNNNNNNNNNNNNNNNNNNNNNNNNNNNNNNNNNNNNNNNNNNNNNNNNNNNNNNNNNNNNNNNNNNNNNNNNNNNNNNNNNNNNNNNNNNNNNNNNNNNNNNNNNNNNNNNNNNNNNNNNNNNNNNNNNNNNNNNNNNNNNNNNNNNNNNNNNNNNNNNNNNNNNNNNNNNNNNNNNNNNNNNNNNNNNNNNNNNNNNNNNNNNNNNNNNNNNNNNNNNNNNNNNNNNNNNNNNNNNNNNNNNNNNNNNNNNNNNNNNNNNNNNNNNNNNNNNNNNNNNNNNNNNNNNNNNNNNNNNNNNNNNNNNNNNNNNNNNNNNNNNNNNNNNNNNNNNNNNNNNNNNNNNAGAAGAUGGUGCCUAGUUUAUCUAGUUUGUCUACAUUAGAUUGUGAGUCGUGUCAGCUUGGGAAACAUACCCGAGCCUCCUUUUCGCGUAGUGUUGAGAGUCAUGCAAAGUCUGUCUUCUCCUUAGUUCAUUCAGAUAUAUGGGAUCCUAGUAGAGUCAGUUCAACCUUAAGAUUUCGUUAUUUUGUUAGUUUCAUUGAUGAUUAUUCAAGAUGUACUUGGCUUUUCUUAACGAAAGAUCGUUCUGAGUUAUUUUCUAUAUUCCAGAGUUUCUGUGCUGAAAUCAAAAACCAAUUUGGUGUUUCUAUUUGCAUUUUUCGCAGUGAUAAUGCCUUAAAAUAUUUAUCUUCUCAGUUUCAGCAGUUUAUGACUUCUCAAGGAAUUAUUCAUCAGACAUCUUAUUCUUAUACCCCUCAGUAAAAUGGGGUUGCUGAGAGAAAGAAUAGGCACCUUAUUGAGACUGCUCGCACACUUCUAAUUGAAUCUCGUGUUCUGUUACGUUUUUGGGGCGAUGCAGUUCUCACAGCUUGUUAUUUGAUUAAUCGGAUGCCUUCAUCUCCCAUCAAGGAUCAGAUUCCGCAUUCAGUAUUGUUUCCCCAGUCACCCUUAUACUCUCUUCCAUCCCGUGUUUUUGGGAGCACGUGUUUUGUUCAUAACUUAGCCCCUAGGAAAGAUAAGUUAGCUCCUCGUGCUCUCAAGCGAGUCUUCCUUGGUUAUUCUCGUGUUCAGAAGGGAUAUCGUUGUUAUUCACCAGAUCUUCGUAGAUACCUUAUGUCAGCUGACAUCACAUUUUUUGAGUCUAAACCUUUCUUUACUUCUGCUGACCACCAUGAUAUAUCUGAGGUCUUACCUAUACCGACCUUUGAGGAGUUUACUAUAGCUCCUCCUCCACCUUCGACCACAGAGGUUUCAUCCAUACCAACCGUUGAGAAGUCUAGUGUUGUUCCUCCUAGUUCCCCAGCCACAGAAACACCACUCUUGACUUAUCAUCGUCGUUCGCGCCCUACAUCAAGCCCAACUGGUUCUCGUCCUGCACCUGACCCUGCUCCUGCUGCGGACCCUGCUCCUAGUACACCGAUUGCACUUCGGAAAGGUAUACGGACCACACUUAACCCUAAUUCUCAUUAUUUCGGUUUGAGUUAUCAUCGCCUGUCAUCUCCCCAUUAUACUUUUAUAUCUUCUUUGUCCUCGGUUUCCAUCCCUAAGUCUACAGGUGAAGCGUUGUCUCAUCCAGGAUGGCGACAAGUUAUGAGUGACGAGAUGUCUGCUUUACAUACAAGUGGUACUUGGGAGCUUGUUCCUCUUCCCUCAGGUAAAUCUACUGUUGGUUAUCGUUGGGUUUAUGCAGUCAAAGUUGGUCCCGAUGGCCAGAUUGAUCGACUUAAGGCCCGUCUUGUUGCCAAAGGAUAUACUCAGAUAUUUGGGCUCGAUUACAGUGAUACCUUCUCUCCCGUGGCUUCAGUCCGCCUUUUUCUAUCCAUGGUUGCGGUUCAUCAUUGACCCCUCUAUCAGCUAGACAUUAAGAAUGCCNNNNNNNNNNNNNNNNNNNNNNNNNNNNNNNNNNNNNNNNNNNNNNNNNNNNNNNNNNNNNNNNNNNNNNNNNNNNNNNNNNNNNNNNNNNNNNNNNNNNNNNNNNNNNNNNNNNNNNNNNNNNNNNNNNNNNNNNNNNNNNNNNNNNNNNNNNNNNNNNNNNNNNNNNNNNNNNNNNNNNNNNNNNNNNNNNNNNNNNNNNNNNNNNNNNNNNNNNNNNNNNNNNNNNNNNNNNNNNNNNNNNNNNNNNNNNNNNNNNNNNNNNNNNNNNNNNNNNNNNNNNNNNNNNNNNNNNNNNNNNNNNNNNNNNNNNNNNNNNNNNNNNNNNNNNNNNNNNNNNNNNNNNNNNNNNNNNNNNNNNNNNNNNNNNNNNNNNNNNNNNNNNNNNNNNNNNNNNNNNNNNNNNNNNNNNNNNNNNNNNNNNNNNNNNNNNNNNNNNNNNNNNNNNNNNNNNNNNNNNNNNNNNNNNNNNNNNNNNNNNNNNNNNNNNNNNNNNNNNNNNNNNNNNNNNNNNNNNNNNNNNNNNNNNNNNNNNNNNNNNNNNNNNNNNNNNNNNNNNNNNNNNNNNNNNNNNNNNNNNNNNNNNNNNNNNNNNNNNNNNNNNNNNNNNNNNNNNNNNNNNNNNNNNNNNNNNNNNNNNNNNNNNNNNNNNNNNNNNNNNNNNNNNNNNNNNNNNNNNNNNNNNNNNNNNNNNNNNNNNNNNNNNNNNNNNNNNNNNNNNNNNNNNNNNNNNNNNNNNNNNNNNNNNNNNNNNNNNNNNNNNNNNNNNNNNNNNNNNNNNNNNNNNNNNNNNNNNNNNNNNNNNNNNNNNNNNNNNNNNNNNNNNNNNNNNNNNNNNNNNNNNNNNNNNNNNNNNNNNNNNNNNNNNNNNNNNNNNNNNNNNNNNNNNNNNNNNNNNNNNNNNNNNNNNNNNNNNNNNNNNNNNNNNNNNNNNNNNNNNNNNNNNNNNNNNNNNNNNNNNNNNNNNNNNNNNNNNNNNNNNNNNNNNNNNNNNNNNNNNNNNNNNNNNNNNNNNNNNNNNNNNNNNNNNNNNNNNNNNNNNNCAGGUACUGUUAUUUCUCAAAGAAAAUAUGUUUUAGAUAUUCUUGAGGAGACAUGGAUGAUAGGUUGUAGACCUGUUGACACUCCGAUGGAUUCGAAUUCUAAACUUCUGCCAGAACAGGGGGAGCUGGUGCUAGAGGCGGCUGGUUGGAAAAUUAAAUUAUCUCACACUGACUAGACCCGACAUUUCUUAUCAUGUGAGUGUUGUAAGUCAGUUUAUGAAUUCUUCCUGUGAUAGUCAUUGGGAUGUGGUUGCCCGCAUUAUUCGGUAUAUAAAAUCGGCUCCAGGCAAAGGGUUACUGUUUGAGGAUCGAGGUCAUGAGCAGAUCGUUGGAUACUCAGAUGCUGAUUGGGCAGUAUCACCUUCUGAUAGACGUUCUACGUCUGGAUAUUGUGUUUUAGUACGAGGCAAUUUGGUGUCCUGGAAGAGCAAGAAACAGAAUGUAGCUGUUCGGUCUAGUGCAGAAGCAGAAUAUCAAGCAAUGACUAUGGCAACAUGUGAGCUAGUCUGGACCAAACAAUUGCUCAAGGAGUUGAAAUUUGGUGAAAUCAAUCAGGUGGAACUUAUGUGCGAUAAUCAAGCUGCCCUUCAUAUUGCAUCACAUCCGGUGUUCCAUGAGAGAACUAAACACAUUGAGAUUGAUUGUCACUUCGUCAGAAAAAGAUACUUUCAGGAUAGAUUGCUACAAAGUUUGUGAGGUCGAAUGAUCAACUUGCAGAUAUUUUCACCAAGUCUCUCACUGGUCCCCGUAUUGGUUAUAUAUUUAACAAGCUCGGUUCAUAUGAUUUGUAUGCACCCACUUGAGGGGGAGUGUUAGUUUACAGCUAUGUAUAUAGUGUAGUCUUGUCCCACAUUGGAAUAGGAGUAGUAUGUCCUUGUAUAGUACAGCUAUAAAUAAGGACCUCUUGUAUUGUAUUGAACAUCCAAUAUCAAUAACAUAUUUUCUCUCGUGCCUUCUCACAGCUACCCUAUUAAGUUUUGUAAAAAGGUUAGGAUUCAAGCAUUCAAAUGUAGUGUAAUUGGAAAUUCCAGAAGAAGUUGGCAAAAUUGGACUUGGAUAUAAUAACUGAAGAACUAUAAGCUGUGAACUUGUUUGUUUUCAUUUUAGAAUCUCAAAAGACAAAAUGGAAGCAAAAUAGCGAACUCAAAAUCAACCGAAAUCAUGUAUUGGUGGUUUAUUCACAUAGGAAAAAGAGGGUUGCUUAGUUCAUCAAACAAUCUACCUGCUUCUUUUUUAGAUUGGGCAGCAGUAAAUAAGCCUGGGAAUGGAAAACCUGACUCUCCAGGUACAGGAACCGUUUCCAAACCUAGGUUGAUGAUAGCCUUGGUUCCUUCAGCUAAAGUUCUGCAGCCUUCAAGCCUCUUUAGUGCGAUGUUGAUAUACAAUGUCAAAUAGAUAAGUAGCUUGUCAGAUGAGCUUUUAAUAUCAAAGUUUUUGAAGAAGACAUUUGCUCGGAAGAAUGUGAUUGCUUCAUCAACAAUAUCAGUUGUAUCUGCUCAAAAAUAAGAUAAGCAUCAAACCGUAAGAAUGUAUAGACAUUGCCCUCGGAAAGAUAAGACUCGCACGACUAACCUUGUUCUGAAACUGGAGCAGGUCCCUUUAUAUGGCUUUUCAGAGGUAAUAAAGGGCAUCCACAAGCUUUACUAAUUCCUUCCUCGUCAAUAAAACUGGAGUGAUAAACCUGUAAUUGAAUCAAAAUCAGGUUUCAGCAUUAAAUGGGGCUGACUGUUUUGGGUUAAGACACCCUGUAAAACAAAAAGAAUAGAGUAGAUUAAAUGAAAAGGGGAUAUACAUUGAAGUUGAACACAGAAAUCUCAUAGGGAACACAAAUAGAGAGCUCAUAUGACCCCGGAUAUCACAGAGCAUAUUACAGAAGAUCACGAAUGGUCGAUAGGAACGUCUACCCGUUCCAAAAUGUCUACCCGUUCCAAGACCAAAAUUGAUAAAAAUCUUGGUGAGGUUGUAGUCCUCUGUGUUUAAAUUAAACUUUGAAAUUACAAUCAAGCUUGAAUCUUAACUGUAAUUCUUUCUUCUAUAAAUCCUUAUAUCUUUGGUUCUUUCUUGUCGUUCUUUGGAGAUGAUUGAUUUCAUAUAUCAAUUAUUACUAUAGAGUCCAAUUAGAGCCUAGGAUUCUUCCUGUUCUUCAAUUUCGGUUUGGACUUUCUAUCAUGCUAUUUUCAUUAAACACUUUAUUAGCUAUUAUUCCACUUGUGUGUAUCCGAAUCGUAUCAGGUCCACUGUCUCUAAAUCGGUUAUCCUGUUGUUUACCACCACUUGACUAUACACUUUUGAAGGUAAGUACAAAUCAAAGAAAACACCGCAAUCGAUCCCACGUAGUCGAUCAGUAACAGAUCCUCAUUGCCGAGAUAUGGGGGAAACAUGAUAAUACUAUUUGUCAUUUAUUUUAUUUGUUUCUUUCUCUUUGAAACCAAAGUCUGCAUAAUGAAUAAUAGUGGAAUGAAGAACAUAUGAAAUGUAAGUCACGCAGCUCACUUAGUGCACCAAACCAUGAAAAAGUCCAAGUUUAAUUACCAAAGCAAAGAUAACAGUGAGUUUCAUCAUGCAUGGCCUUAAUCACACUAUAAACUGUGAAAGAGAUAAUUGUCGUCAAAGUAAUGUAGAUAUUUAAAACAAAGCUUGCUUCCAUACCAUAUUCCUUGCUGGAAAUCUUGUUUAGUACCACCGGAGGGGAAUUUACACACUCUAGUCAAAUAGGCUAACAAACCAAUCUGCAGAUGCACACAUCAAGCAUCAGAUAUGAGCUAAUAAUUGAAAUACUACUAACAUGACUCCUAAAUUAGAAGGACGUGAAUUGAAGAUAUUUCCCAAGUCCCGCAAAAAUAAUGGUUGCGGACUUGAUCAAGUUGGCUUUAAAGAAUACUCGAAUUGAGACCACACAAACAAAAUUACACAAAUAAGCUAAGUUGCUCGGACUCUUCACUUUCAGUGCCGCACUCGUGUCGACACGACAUGGGUGUGGGUAUGGGUGUGGGUAUGGGUGUGGGAUCCGUGUCGGAUCUGGUCAACCGAUUUUGGGUACUUUGACCAAAAUCAACGGAGAAAUUUGGGACAGAUACAAUAAUUUUUGAAAACAAAUCAAAAGCUAGUGUGAUAUGGAAGAAAAUGGAAUACCUUGUAUAUAUAAAUUUCUAUGUCAGUCCUUUUCCUUUUAUCUCCUUCUAAAAUUCUACUCUUGUUCAAUAUUUUCUCCUUCUCGGAAUACCUUGUAAGUUUUUCACAUAAUGUCUCAUAAUUUAGACAUAUUUUUAUAACUCUAUUUUUAAAUAAUUGAAUUAUUUUUAGCCGAAUCCCCGUACCAGGAUCCGUACCUCCGAAUCUUUAAAUUUAGAUCAUGAAGGAUCUGACCUCUAGAUCCGCACCCGUAUCAGACACCCGCACCCGAGUCCGAGCAACUUAGCAAAUAAGAAAGUUCAAGAUUGUUCCCCCCACCUAAUAAAAGAAAGAAAAAGAAUAAAAAUAGAUCUAAACUAUCCUACACUACACUUCCUUCAAGUUGCUCACCCUUGGCCUUCAUUUACAUUCCCCUGAUAAAAAUAAUUAACUAGGGGACAACCUUUCACCUUAUCCAAUUCAAACAUGCAUCACGUCCUAGAUUUGCCAACCCAUGUGUGACGGCCUAGUACAUGCUCCUAGCGAUUUUAAACAAUUAAAGCAAAGCAAUAAAACAUGUUAAACCCAAUUUUACUUUCAUUUAAUAUCCAGCACCUCAUGACUUAUGUCAAACACUUCCUUCUUCUCUUUUAAAAACUUUCAAACCUAUCCAACUACAUGUUUGAUCAAGUAAUGUAACGAAAGAACAAUUAGCAGAUAACGAACUAUGGAAACGCAGCAAACAUGAGUAAUUAAUCCCAAUUAACAAGGAAACAUAACACAAACAUGAUAUGGCCUAUAUUCCAGCUCUUGGCAGCAUGUAUUUCACUCAAAUAUCCAUUCAAGAAUUUAGGAUCAGAUUCGACAAAACUAUUCAAUAUAUGUACUAGUUCAACUAACGAAUCACAAUCAACAAAAUAGCCACAUAGAUCAACUAAAGCAAGAUUUGAAAUAUAAAUAGAACAGAAACUACUUAAAUUAAAAAGAUCAAGUUAAUAAUGGACCUUAGAGUAGCAAAAUCGGAUUUCCUUCGAUGAUUUAAAAAUAUACAAGGACCUCUAAGCAAAAACGAAACAGAUCUGAGAGCCGCCGAUUGACAUACGAACAAAAUUAACACAGAGGAACCACCGACCGGAAAACCAAGGUAAGACUGGACAACCUCGAACGGGAAACACCAACUCAGAAUUAAUUAAUAGCUUACUUUCUUUCUCUUUUCUUCUUCUUGUAUUUUUCAGUUUUUCUGUUGAAAGAGUGAAUAAAAAUACUAGUUAAAUAUUUUAGGCAAGGAAAAUACUCAUUUAUUGAAAACUUAAUUAAUAGGAAGACAUCUAUUUUUUGUGAAUUUCUUUUCCUUUUGCAAAGGGGAAAAAACUUGUAUCUAAACAUGUAACUAUUUGUUUUUUGACUUUUCAAUUUAUCAAAAGUAAGAUAGAUCAUAAAUAGCUAAACAGAAUCCAAGCAACUCAAAUGAGAGAUAAUAUUUUUUGUGGUUUUCAUUUUUAAGAUAAAAUAAAGUAAAAGAGCCAAACAUAGUCAAAAUAACAAUUUGGACCUAAAAUAAGUAUCCAAGCAAUAAAAUUUCAUAGAGGGUCAAAAAUUACGUGUUUACAGGUUUAAAUUCCAGCGGAGACAAAAAAUACUAGGUGAUUUCUUCUCAUCUCUUCAAGCCUUGGUGGACAGAACCUUAUACAUGUUGCUUGUGAGAAGUAGCAGGUAUCCUGUAGAAUUAGUUAAGAUACGCGCAAACUGACCCGAACACCACGGUUAUUAGAAAAAAUAAUAUAGAACAAGGAAAUAAAGGAAGUAAUUAUGUAUGUAGGUAACAUUCAAACAGUCUGCUAUCUAGUCCUACCAUCCUAUUCCCUCUCUUCUCCCUUUGUCCAUUAAAUUCCAUAAUCAGACCCCCAAUUUUCAAGAGGAUUAAUUUUUUACCUACUGAAUUCUAAGAUCAAUUACACAGUUUCAAGCAUUUUGAAAAAAGCAAUUGUAAUCACAGUUGUUAUUAACAAGUAUCAUCACACAUUCAACAAUUCCCACAGCAACAAUAACAACAAACGCAAUUAAUUAAAUGUGAAAUUAUGAUCAUAAAGGUAGCAAAGGAGGUGAAAAAAAUGCAACAAUGAGAAAUGAAAGAAAACGAGGUUCAAGGGCAUAAUCGUUAUUUACUCACCGAUUUGGGAGAAGAGACAGAUAAUUUCACCGGCGAAAUACUGAAAGCUUUAGAGAUCGAAAGGACGGGGUUUAGUUUUUCCGGUGAAAGACUAAAGAAGAGAAGUGAACGAGAAUCAAAAGAAUUGGCUAUAAUUGCAAACUGGUGACGGUAGUUGGAGACGGGCUUAACUAUAGCAGCUAUUUGUUAAAAUAGGCAUGGAUUGGCCAACGUUUUGACCGGUAUUUGAAAAAUAAUCAAUAUUUGCAAAGUAAAUGAAAAAUAACAAUUAUUUAAUACAGGGAUAAAUUCGAAACAAAAUACCCCUAAUUGAAACUCUUGUCUAUAUUUUAUUUUCAUAUGAAAAAAUGACUAAAUUUUAUUUAAUUUUGAAACUAUAUUAUAAACAAUUAGAAGUUAUAAAUCAGGCUAAUUCUAAAUUUCUUUCCAGCUAUGAGCACGUAAUUUUUGCCCGAUAUGAAAAUGGCUCCUAAAACAUUCCAAAAUAGCCUUUAAUUAUUUUUAUAGAAUUUUAAAAACUUUCCUAUAUUUUUAUUUAAUUUGUUUUACGCGUAUUUGUGUUUCAUGCAUUUUUAGGUAACAUUUUUAAAAUCAUAAAAAUGACAAAAAUAUUUUAUAUUUUAAUCUUCACAUUUAGAUCUUAAUUGUAUUUAGUUACAUGAUUUGGUUGCAUUUCUAAAAUAGAAAAAAUCACAAAAAUACAUGCAAUCUUUCUUAUUUUUUCUUUUACAUCUCAGGUUCAACUAAUUAGUUAAGUUGGUAAUCCACAAAUUAGUUAAUUUAAUUAGAUAAUUCAUAUAAAGGGUUAAUUUUGCAAUUUAAGUUCUAUGUAUUAAGUUAAUUAAUGAGUGACUAAACAUAAAAGACUAAAAGAGGAGGAUUUGAGGUUACUAUUUGUUCAAAACCGAGCUGGGCCAAGCUUUGAGGCCCAGUACACAUAAAAUUUGCCCGGUCCAAAUUCCCCAUGCCCGGUCCAGCUUUCAUUAGCACCAAACGCCAUCGUUCUCGGUGCGGCUAAUCUUAGUCGUCCCUCAAGCAAGAUCCAAGAUUUGGGAACUGAUCUCUCAAAGUCAUAUAAGUGUCCGAAACGCCCCUACCCCCAAAGACCUACCAGAACCCUUUCUUCUCCCCUCUCUCAGCCUCCGCCCCACGCCGCCGCUGGAAAUCGCCCACGGUGGCGGCCAACCUCUAAACAUCCCCAAAUCAACACCAGACAAUCCUCGCCUCCUCCUUAUACCAUAUCUCUUCUUAGUUUCCUUCAAAACCCCUCAGAUUCUCUCGAUAUAUAGAUCUAAGAUUUUCGGAAACUCUUAGUUUCGCCCUUUCUUGAUUCUUCGAUAUUCUCAAAUCGUUUUGACCUAAAACUUACGCUAAUCGAUUGUUCUUACGUUAGUUUUGGCUCAUCUCAAAAUCACCGAAAUCCGGUCAAAUACCAUUGAAUCAACCACUUACCGUUCUGUUUCUCAGGAUGACGGGAAUCAUUUUGGUCGCCCCUUUGAGCUCAGUAGGUAUAUCUCUUUUUCUUCUUAUUUCCCUAUUAUUUUCAACUGUGUGGUUUUGUGUUGAAUUUGUUCAAUCAAUUAAAUCUAGUUAUGCAGAAUUAAGAGUUAGAUGAAUUAAUGUUUGCAUAUCUAGAUUGAUAGUUAAUCACUUAUUUUAAUUAGUUUGAUUGUGUUUUGAACUAGUUUUAAAUUUUUAAAAGUAAUGUUUGUUUAGUUUUCAAUUUGAAUUAGACUUCAAAUCUGUUUGUUUGAAUGUCUUAGCUUAGUAUUGGGCAUGUCUUGUUUGACAUGCAGGCCAACUAGAUUAAAAUCCAAGUUGAGAAGGAUUUAGGGUCUAGGUCUUGAUUUUGGGCUUGUUGGCCAGAAGGCCCAUGCGUGUGAAUGCUAGCUAUGUGGUAAAAAAAAUAGGGGUUUAAGAUGCUAAAAGUUGUUAUAAAGCAAUACAUUCACACAUAUACACAAAUAUUCACACUCUUCUCAUUCGCAUUCACUCUUAUCUCACCCAUACAACAUCUUCACAUCUCACUCACACACUCAUUCAUAUACAAUUCAAAAUUUUAAAAAUUCAGCAGCACUAAAACAGUUGAAAAUAAAGUUUGAAAUUCAAAAAAUAAAAUCCAGUUGAAAUCUAGAAUCAGAAUAACUUUAAAAAACAGAAGGAAGUACCAUAUGGAGAAGGAUACAAAGUUGUUUUCAAAUUCCAGCACAUUUGAUUGAUAUUUCUAGGAUUUCAAAAGUUAUUUCAAGGUUUUGCGAGCUAAAAAACUACUAUUCGAUUGACUAGAUAUGUUGUCCUUGCUUUGCUGAACUCAAUUCCAUUUCUUCAUCGUUUUCUUCCUUGAUUUAGUCAUUUUAAGGUAUUCCUUAACUUCUAAUCUCGUAACCUUGUGUGAAUUUAGUAAAAUCUUGUUUGUUGCAGAUUGAUUGUUGUUGAAAUAAAGUUAUUUGUUCUUCCUUGCUGAGUUGAAUGACUGCCAUAACUGAUUUAGCUAUAUCAUGAUUUUGUUUGAGCAUCAAAUUUAAAUUAAUCGUAGUUAUUCCAUCCCACAUUUACUAGAAUUACUCUUGUGUUAAUUGGUGACGAAGAGGCUCAAUUGACUGAGCUAAUGGCUUAAGUUUACGGAUCUUAUCACUGGUUGAUUAGAUCGGUAAACAUUAUGAUUAAAGAGGCAAUUCCAGAUAUGUCCGUGGUGUAUUGCUGGUUGAUUUGUAUAUUGAUGUAAAACUAAAAGGCUUUUAGUACAACUAAAUGAUGUUAUCAUACUGCUUUAGCUCAUACAAAUCUAGUUAUUAUUGUAAAUUCAAAAUAAUAAUCCUUGAUGCGACAGUAUAAUGUUGUAAUUUAUAAAGUUCGAGCAAUCAUGUGUUCAUGCUUGGAAAGAUUUUAUCGUUGCUUUCAUUUGUGCAAUAAGGUACGAAAAUUGGGUGAAGAAUUAGAUGGAUUAGUUAUUAGAUCUUUGGUUUCAGAGCACUGCUCGUCCUAAACAAUUAGCUCAUACGAAGUUGUGCUAUUGAUUUGGGUUUUUCAUAGACUUGGAACUUUAGUAUGUGUUUGGGCUCAUUUAGAGGCCCAAUUGGAAGCUUGUGAUUUUAAUGCGCAUAAAGACUUGGGCUAUUCGAGAAAGCUAAAGCACCUUGGGCUUCACUAUUAGCCCGUCCUCACUCAUUAAGACAUGUUGGAGGUCCAAAAGUGAACACUUAACUUGACACUCCAUUUACUUUGUAAUUAAUGAACAAAUCAAUAACAGUUCUUUUCUAGCCCUUAUCGAUUACAUAAACACUGCCUUCCUAAACAAUGCUUGUUAAUUUUACACUCAUUCAUCAAAAUUCAUCCUGUCGUUAUAAAUUUCAGUGAUUAAUUUUAUACCAACCUUUAAUACUCUAAAUGGCGUAUGCUUUGAAUUGGCAAUUAGUUCCAAUACAUCUUGUAUCAACAACUAAAUUCCAUAAUUUUGGACUUGUCGCAAUUAAUCUCAAACUUAGGAAAGAUACAACUCAUAAACAUCGCUAGCAUGCUUUUAGGCACGAUUAAUAAAUGAUCGUCAUAGUUAUGGGUACAGUUCUCGUGGCAUAACUGUGGCACUUAAACUAUAAAUUCAAGUGCACAUUCGCAUGACUUGAUUAUACAACUUCAAAUAAUAAUAAAUAUGUUGUAAAUCACGGGUGCAUUUCACGUGACGUGAUUUGCAAUGUGCAUAAAACAACAAGUGCACGACAUCGUGACUUGUUUCAAAUAAACUAUAUAAUUAUUAAAAAUAUAAAAUCAAAAGCGGUAAAAGGUAAAAUACACAUAGCUUUUAAAACAUGUAAUAAUCCAAUAAUCAAGCCAUGUGUAAUUGUAAAGCAACUUAUACAGAAUUCCUUAUCCGAUCUUCUAUGUUUCACAUGCUUAUACAGAGUCAAACUUUCCUUGAAUUGGGAUUUAAUAUAAAUCGGUGACUUGGGACACCUUAAUAAUUAUUCAGCGGCAACUCUAUAAAUUAAUUAAAUAGUCCAUUUUCAAUAAUGUCACUUAAAGUGAAAAAACUUCCGGUUCAGAAUUUGAACUUAGAAUAACUGUUAUACUUGGCUUCUUGUGAUUAUCUGAUAUUACAUGUUUGAGCCUAAUGUGCUAAAUAUUACUCUUUACCGCUUUAAUAUUGCCGUGAACUAUAUAUAAACUGUUACGAUACUCUUCUUCUAUGUGAGUCUUCUAAAUCUCCUGGGAAGCACAACACUUCGCGUCGCUUCUUUUCUGUUAGAGUGUCAUACCCUUAAUUUUAGAACGAGGAUCGGACCCUUUGCAAAGCCGGUGAAACUUCUGUAUUCCCGGUACGCUGCUUCCCUAGCUCAAGUUGUCCGCUCGGGUAAGCUUAUCUAGAACUCCACCUCUUAAGGUUUAAACCUAGAAAAAUAAAGCCUCAUACCGGAUUCCUAGUAGGUAUGCUUGUUUUCAUAACGUGCAUUUGACUUUGGGAACUCAACACAGGGGUUGGGUCCGUCUAGGACAAGUGUACCCCAAAAAUAAAAGACUAUCCUGAUGCAUCGUACGUGCUACUUAUGCAUUUAUUUGAUCUGGUUUGCAUGUUGACUGGAUUCUAAAAUAGGAAAAGAAAAUCAAGAAAACUAGGAGAGAGAAGAUAAGAGAGGGAAAAUAUAUCCAGUUCUCGAAAAUCCCGGUAUUUGAAAAAAUAAAAAGAGAAAAAUUUCGAAACUUUGCCAAAUUUUUAGAAGGUUGUACAAAACUAGUCCAAAUUUUCAAAAAACAAAAGACAUUUUCCCAGGUUUUUGAAAAAAUCCCCCGAACUACGCAUGUCUGAUUCUCACCGGAUGUGAGAUACGUUGGCAAUCUUCAUAGGGUCCGGCCCCAAUUUUCAAGAAUCCUAAAGUAUUUUUUUUAAAUUCCUUUUUAAAAGUCUUUCCUUAGAAAUCCCUAAAGAAAAUAUUUUUAACCCAAAAAUAGUUUCUUUCUUUUUCGCAGUCUUUCAUUUGGAAAAAAGAAAACACAAAUCAAAAUCCAAAAUAUGUUUUUCCCUUCGUCAGAAGUCUUUCUCCUAAAAAAUAAAAAUAAAAAAAAAAUCAAAACCAAAUUCCAAAAAUAUUCUCUUUCUUCUUUAGAAAACUUUCUUUCGUAAAUUUAAAUUUUAAAAAAUUGAAGUCCAAAAAUAUUUUCACUCUUUUUCAAAAGUUUGCUUUCGGAAAUUAAAAAAAAAAAAAAGGAAAAUUCAGAAAUCCAAAAUAUUUUUGGAUUUCUUUAGGAGACUUUUUGUAAAUUUAAUAAAAUUUGAAAAAUUGAAUAAAAAAAAAACAAAUUGAAAUCAAAAAAAUAUAUAUAUUCCUUCUUCUUUAUAAGUCUUUCUUUCAAAAAUUCACAAAAACCAAAUCAAAAUCCUAAAAAUAUUUUAUUUCUUCUUUCGAAGUUUUGUUUUUCAAAAAAAAAAAGAGAGAAAAAAAUAAAGUUAGCUUAUUUACUUUAUUCCUGAUAUCUCUGAAAUACGUAAUAAUCUGAUUCAUGCAGCGUCAUGAUACAUAAGCAAUCUCUAUCGAAUGCGAUCAAAAUCAUAAAUAGACUGAACGAAAAAAAAGAGAAGAAAAAAGGAAAAGAAGAAGAAGAGAAGAUGAUGAAGAAGAAGGUGGAAAAAAGCAAGAGAAAAAAUAAUAAUGACAAAAGCAGAGAGAGAGAGAGAGAGAGAGAGAGAGAGAGAGAGAGAGAGAGAGAGAGAGAGAGAGAGAGAGAGAGAGAGAGAGAGAGAGAGAGAGUAGAGAGAGAGAGAGACACGACACGUAAAGAAAUAAGGUAUACAGUGGAGAAGGGAUAGUUAAAGCCGGGAUGAAACAGUCAACCAUUCAAACACAUGAUAGAAGCAUUUAACUGUUGGGUGCAUUGCAUCCCAACGUGCGAUUUCCUAUAUGAUUAAUGCUUCAAACUAACAAGGUUGUUGUGUGUGUCAAUUAGCCAGGUUCUGUUUAGGUGAUUAUUUUAUUGGUAAUCUGGCUUCCCAUCUAUACUUCACCAGAUCAAAAGGAAAGGUUCUUAUGACUUUCGAAAGUAACCUGCCAAUUAUCAACUCCGAGGAUAGCCCGGCACCGUCUAUUCCACCGCCAGAGUCAGUUACUGCUGAAAAGAAGAGAAUGUUACACCUACGCAUGCUAGAAAUGUGGAACGCAUGGUCUAACAGGAGGGAACCACCGAGUGCAAUCUCUGGGUUUCCCGAGUUGAUCCCUAGAUAAGGCGAGGCUAAUAAUGUCCCUAUGUCCAACAUGUUUAUCCCAUGUGGGUACCCCCCAGUGCCAACUAAUGGUCCCGGCAUGUCUUCUGUGGUUCACCCCCAGACGCCGGUUUCAAGGGCACCGCCAGUAAUGUUCUCCACAACACCUAUCUUCACCGCAGCACAACCAACUGUACCUACGCCAUAUGUUGAGCCUCUGACUUUUACAUUCCAGGGCUCACGAUUUCAACCAUACAUGACCUAUGUCACCCCGAACUCAUAUACUCAACCUAUACAAUAUGAGUUCCCGACUGAACAAGAAAGAAUGGUCAAGAAUCCCGAGCAGGAAGAAAUGGCUCGAAAAAUGAAAAACGUGGAACAAAGCCUAAAGAAUAUACAUGGCCUAAGCGGCCAAAAGAGUGUUUCCUACUCUGACUUGUGCAUGUUUCCCCGUGUUCACUUUCCAUAUGGCUUCAAGACACCAAAGUUCGAAAAAUACGAUGGGCACAGAGACCCGAUCGCUCACCUGAAAAGAUAUUAUAACCAACUAAGGGGCGCUGGUGGAAGAGAUAAGCAUUUAAUGGCUUAUUUUGGAGAGAGUCUGGCAGGAAUAGCCUUCGAAUAGUAUAUGGACUAGGAGUUCGCCCAUUGGCAUGUGUGGGAUGACUUGGCCAGAGACUUUUCGCCAGUUCCAGUACAAUGUGGACAUUGCUCCGGAUAGAAACUCAUUGUCCAAUCUGAAAAAGAAACCCACAAAAUGUUUUCAUUAAUAUGCUGUCAAGUGGCGCGAGCAGGCCGCCAGGGUAAAGCUUCCAAUGGUUGAAGCCGAGAUCUUCACGGUCUUUUUGUAGGCCCAAAAGUCAGACUACUUCCAUAAUAUGAUGUCGGCUAUGGGAAAAUCAUUCGCGGAGGUCAUCAAAAUUGGAGAGAUGGUCGAAAAUGGUAUAAAAACGAGCUGAAUCUUGUGUCAGGCCGCCUUCAAAGUCACAUCACAGGCCAUUCAGAAUGGCUCGGGGGGGGGGGGGGGAGGGGGGUUCGGAGAACAGAAACAUAAGAUAAGAGGGAGCCAUGAUGGCUUCAAGUUCGAGAAGGCCCCGCAGGUCAUUCGAUCAAUCAUAUACGCCACCCAGAACCCCGCAACAUUACUACCGCAUCAUGAUUCUGCAUACGUCGUGGCACCGCCUUACUAUGCGGUGAUGAAUGCGCAACCUUACACGCUGGCAAAACUACCCACAAAACUGAGCUCCACCUCCAUGAAAUGUCCGUCCCUGCCAAGCUCCAUAUAAUUUCCAAUAAAAUAUUCCCCAAUACAAUCCUCGCCAAGAGAGCCUCCCAAAAGGAAUUAGUUCACUCAUAUUGGUGAAUCGUAUUCAAGUUUGUUUCAAAAGUUAAUAAGGCUAGGUCUGCUACAACCAAUGGCCCCAAACCGGCCGAACCCCGAGUCCCCCUCACACUAAACUGAUGUUAGAUGUGAAUAUCAUUAUGGAGUAGCGGGACACGAUACAGAGGACUGUUGGACCCUCAAGAGGGCAGUUGAAGACUUGAUUGAAGCUAAAAUAAUUGUUCUUAGGGAUGAAGAGGCUCUCAAUGUGAGCAAUAAUCCUUUGCCUACUCACAACAAUAGGCCAGUUUGGAAUGACCUGUGAUGAUGAGGAAUUUGAUCCGGAACUGAAAACCAUUGUAUCUAUUGCCACCACAGAGAGAGAAACCUAAAAAUAGACACCAACCCUGAAAAGUUCUCUGUCAGACGGGAAUCCCGAUAGCCGGUCUUGUUGUCCUUUCUGCGUACGGAUUAUUUCAGGAUGUAAUCCGGAUGUUUCACUUUGUUGUCUUACUUUAUGAUAUAAACCCUUAUAUCUUUCAAAAUACAAAUAAAUGAAAUUAAUAUUUCCUCGUUCAUGUCUCUUUUCUUAAUUUUGUCACUUCUCUUAUUCUUUGUUCAGUUUUGUUAAAUACAGAUUUUAAUAACAUGACAUGCUUGCGACCUUCAUGCCCAGAUCCUAAAUGCUGUCAGACUUCGAAAUAAUGAAUCAGAAAGCAGAAUGCAAUAAAGAUAAGGUUAAGGAAAUAAAGCAGAGAAUUGGAGCAGUAUGAGAAUAAGCCUAAGCCAAGUCCGAAUGAAACCUAUAGAAAUUGAAAUUCCCCCUCUUCGGAUCAUUGUAGAUGCCGAGUUUGAGGACAAAGAUGGGUCAAAACUCGGUUGGAAUAAUUGACUAUGAUUGAUGAAAAGCGAUGGGCUGCAAUUUACCACGGGCAGUUGUACCAACAAAGAAUCGUCCGUUCCUACAAUAAGAAAGAGCGGCCCAGGAAAUUUGAAGUGGGGCAAUUCGUUCUGAGAUGUAUUCUCCCGUAUCAUGAAGAAGCUAAAGAAAAAUUUUCUCCAUAUUGGAAAGGUCCAUACAUUGUAACCAGAGUUUUGCCGAAGGGAGCGUUGUAUUUGGGAAACAUCGAAGGAAAUGCCCCCGAGACAAACUGCCGAUGUAGACACAAUCAAAAAGUACUAUGUUUGACCCUUUACGCAACUUUAAUUCUCUCUGAUUGGGAUGACGAAGACUUUUAUUUUCACUACCAAACACUAUUAACCAUUUGCUAAUCCUUUUAGCCAGAUACUUUUCCUUGGACACCCUCUUUGGAACCUUGUAUGUAAAGAGAAAGAAAAGAAAGUGAAAGAGAAAACGAAUUAUAAAAAAAGGAGAAAAGAAAGGGAAAAAAGAGAGAAAGAAGAAAGAAAAUAAAAAAUAGAGUUCAUGUAAUUGAACUACGUUCGACCUGAUUCCGAAAAGGAUACGUAGGCAGUCUCACUCUGGGAUUUGGUCACGCCAAACAAAAUCCACAUUUCCCCCCAGAAGUUGGAACUGGGGCAGCCAUUAUGGCAUUUUGGCGAUGAUUUCGUCUGGAAGGUUCCAAAGUUGUAGUUCAAUCCAAAAUUCUUUUUACCCAAAUCUCUUUCAAGUCCUUCCGACCAAUUAGUGAGAAUAUGUAAAAUUAGAGGUCAUGGAUAUUUGGACCUGAAGCCGUCAAGAAAUGAGAGAAAUAAAAUGAGAGAGUUUUAUUGGCGAAAAAUCCUCACGGGCACCUAAGGAGAUGGUGAGUAGAGUAAUUAAAAAUUAGAGAAUCUUGUUAGUGAAAACCAACAAAUGGCACUAUAAGGCAAUGGUGAGAAGAGAAAUGAGAGAGGCCAGCUGGUGAAAACCCGCAAAGGGGCACUACUGAUCAAAAAGAGGAUCCUCAUAGCCAUGGCAUUAACAUAGUCCUGGGCAGGGUUUCUCGGUUUCAAGACAAGGGUUGCGAUGAGUUUCUGAAAGUCGGACAGUUUACAUAGACCAAGCAUCCAGUCCAAAAGGCAUGUCAUGUUCAUUGAAGUCUGCAUAUACUCUAGAUAAGUCUUCCUUUCUGUUCCCUGAAAGGGACACCUCUGGUUUAAAUUCAUUCUCUGGUCCAUUAUUUAUUUUUCUUUGUAUCCCCUUCGGUCUUACUUUAUUCCAAAAAUAAUGCAAAGAAAAGACAGCAAGACUGAUUUAUAGGAGUUCUUGUUUGAAGCAAUCAUAUAUUUAAAAGGCAUCCAGCCUCGGCAAGGGCACCAAGUCAACCUCGACUGGCCAUGAUUGGCCGAUGCAUUGAAAUCAAAAGCUUUGGAAGAAAGAAGUCAAAAAUAAAAUGCCCACAAAAGAAAAAUAAAGUUGAAGAGGUUAAGUCCACAUGACUAACCGUCAUGGUUAAGUAUGAUAAGCCAAAGGUUCCCCAACGCUCUGAAAUCGAAAGCUUUGGAAGACAGAAGUCAAAAAUGAAAUGCCCACAAAGGCAAAGUAAAGUUUGAAAAGGUUAAGUCCCCCACGCGACUGACAGUCAUGACAAAUGUUUGAAAAACCCAAAGGUUCCCAGGGCCAUAAGUGCAAUAGGUAUUCAGGAAAUAACUAGUUGCAGUUGAAAUCAUCAUCAAAAGAAGAUGGGCCGAGAUCAAGUGAUUGAAAUACUCAAGUCCACAUAACUAACCACUGUUUUAAACUGACGCUUGUUCUUUGUUGAAAAAUAGAAAAUAUGUGAAAUCCAAAAAUAACCUCGCAAGAAGUAGGUACCAUAAAAAGGAAAUCGUGCGGAGAUUGAAAACAGCUCUGCAACAGCAAAAACUUUCAUAAGGGAAGUCUUCUCAAAAUUCUUUCCCGCAUUUUACUCAUUCUCUAAAAAAAUAAAUCAUCAUGGUAGUAUAGGGUACACCAAUCCCUAACUGUAUUUUUCAACAUAGGGUACACCAUUCCCUAGUUGAUGUUUAGACUAGAGUACACCACUCUCUAGUCUCCUUACCAGUAUAGGGUACACGAAUCCCUUGUUGUGUUUUCCAACAUAUGGUACACCACUCCUUAGUUGAUUGAGCUUAAAUGUAGGGUACAUUACUCCAUGAUAUCUUUACUAAUUGAUCUUAAAUGCAGGGUAAACUACUCCCUGGUAUCAUUUUUAGACAUAGGGUACACCACUCCUUAGUCUCCUUAUCAGUAUAGGUACACCACUCCUUAAUUGAUGAUAUUUUAGACAUACGGUAUACUACUCCCUAGCCUUCUUACCAAUAUAGGGUUCACCAAUCCCUAGUUGUGUUUUUCAACAUAGGGUACACCACUCCCUAGUUGAUUAUAUCUUAGACAUAGGGUACACCACUCCCCACUCUCCUUACCAAUAUAAGGUACACCAAUCAAUGUUUGUAUUUUUCAAUGUAGGGUACACCAUUUCCUAGUUGAGUUGAGAUUAAAUGCAGGGUGCACCACUCCCUGAUAUCAUUACUAAUUGAUCUUAGAUGUAAGGUACACCACUCCCUGAUAUCCUUUCCAGUAUAUGGUACAAUAAUUACUAGAUGUGGCUUCCAACAUAGGGUGCACCACUCCUUAGUUGAUUGAGCUUAAACGCAGGGUACACCACUCUCUGAUAUCCUUUCCAGUAGAGGGUACACCAAUCCCUAGCCGUGUUUUCCAACGUAGGAUAUACCACUCCCUAGUUGAUUGAUCUUAAAUGCAGGGUACACCACUGCCUGAUAUCUUUGAUGGUAUAUGGUACACUAUUCCCUAGCCACGUUUUUCCAACAUAAGGUACACCAAUUCUUAGUUGAGACAUCAUUUUGACAAUAAGGGAACAAUAUUAAAACAAAUCUUCAUGAUCUUUUCAGGGUACACCAUUCAUGAUAUUUUAUAGCUUUAAUAAGGAAGUAGUUUAGAAUUUUGUUACAAUAACUCACGUAAUUUUUCUAGUAAAAACUGGGGCAGAAAAAUUUUGUUCGCUUAUUUGCUUUAGUGUUUGAGCAGGUUUUACCUCGAGGUACAGGGUUCGAGAUGACCAAAAGAAGAAGUUUCAAUCCAGAAUAAAGAAAAAAAAGAAAAAGAAUGUGAAUCCAAAAUGCAGAAGUGAAUGAAAAGAUUUCAGAUCAGAGUUUGUAUGAAGAAUCAGUCAAGACUCAAGAUCAAGUUUCAGAACACUUAUAGAUAGAAAUCUUGUAACUCAUAGCUAAUAGGUUAUUUUAGUUUCUUUUGAUUUUUUUAGUGUAAUAAGGACUUCAGCAAGCAGUGAUAGUAGCAACAACAGUGAAAUCACAGCUUUUCGGUAGUCCGAGCUACCAAACUUUUCAGAACUACACUAACUUGAUUCCUUUAUAGCCAAGGAUAUGUAGGCAAUCUCAGAAGCAAGGUUCGGUAAAUCAUUUUCAAAAUGCUUCCCAUGGAGUAUCAAACAGGCAAAAAUUGCUCAUGACUGCUCACUUUAUCUUUGCCCAAAAACUCUUCAUGUUCUCGAGCAAAGAAUGGUAAUUGUGAGCACGUGAUUUUAGCCCGAUGUGAAAAUGGCUCCUAAAACAUUCCAAAACAGCCUUUAAUUAUUUUUAUAGAAUUUUAGAAUUUUUUUAUAUUUUAAUUUAAUUUGUUUUACGCGUAUUUGUGUUUGAUGCAUUUAUAGUAACAUUUUUAAAUCAUAAAAAUGAUAAAAAUAUUUUAUAUUUUAAUCUUCACAUUUUAGAUCUUAAUUGCAUUUAGUUGCAUGAUGUAGUUGCAUUUCUAAAAGAUCCAAGGGUUGGGAAUUGAUCUCUCAAAGACAUAUAAGUGUCUGAAACGCCCUUAUCCCCCAAAGACCUAUCCGAAUCCUUUCUUCUCUCCUCUCUCAUCCUCCGCCCCACGCCGCCGCCAGAAAUCGCCCACGGUGGCGACCAACCUCCGAACAUCCCCAAAUUAAUACCAGAUAAUCCCGCCUCCUCCUUAUACCACAUCUCUUCUUAGUUUCCUUCAAAACCCCUCAGAUUACUCGAUUUAUAGAUCUAAGAUCUUCGGAACUCCCUAGUUUUGCCCUUUCUUGAUUCUCCGUUAUUCUCAAAUUGUUUUGACCUAAAACUUAUGCUAAUCGACUAUUAUUAACAAGAACAAUCGAUUUACAUUAGUUUUGGCUCAUUUCGAAGUCAUCGAAAUCCGAUCAAAUGCCUUUGAACUGGCCAAUUACCGUUCUGUUUCUCCGGCUGACGGGAAUGAUUUUGGUCGCCCCUUUGAGCUCAAUAGGUAUACCUUUUUUUCCUCUCAUUUUCCCUAUUAUUUUCAACUGUGCGGUUUGUCGUUUGUCUUGAAUUUGUUCAAUCAAUUAAGUCCAGUCAUGCAGAAUUAAGAUUUAGAUGAAUUCAUGUUUGCAUAUCUAUAUUGAUUGUUAAUCACUUGUUUUAAUUAGUUUGAUUAUGUUCUAAACUAGUUUUUAAUUUUUAAAAGUAAUAUUUGUUUAGUUUUCAGUUUGAUUUGGACUUCAAAUCUGUUUGUUUGAAUGUCUUAGCUUAGUAUUGAGCGAGCCUUGCUUGACAGACAGACCCACUAGAUUAAAAUUCAAGUUGAGAAGGAUUGGGGGUCUAGGUCCUAAUUUUGGGCCUGUUGGCCAGACGGCCCAGGCGUGUGAAUGCUGGCUAGGUGGUAAAAUAAUAGGGAUUUUAAGGGGUAUUUAAGGGAUUUAACCUAGGGAACCUUUUAUAACUAAUUGGGUAGCUUCCAGAAGAGGGGUGCAUGGACUGUUUUAGCAACAAAAAAAUAAAAUAGGUCAGUUUUAGGUCCUCGAAGAGUAAAAUAGAAAAAGGAAAAGGAUUGAAAAGAAAAGAAACAAUAGAAAAAGAUGCUGAAAGUUGUUAUAAAAUAGUACAUUCACGCAUAUACACAAAUAUUCACACUCUUCUCAUUCUCAUUCACUCUCAUCUCACCCAUACAACAUCUUCACAUCUCACUCACGCACUCAUUCAUACACAAUUCAAAAUUUUGAAAAUUUAGCAGCACUCAAACAACUGAAAAUAAAGUUUGAAAUUCAAAAAAUAAAAUCCAGCUGAAAUCUAGAAUCAGAAUAACUUUAAAAAAUAGAAGGCAGUAUAUAUGGAGAAGGAUACGAAGCUAUUUUCAAAUUCCAGCACAUUUGAUUGAUAUUUCUAGGAUUUCAAAAGUUAUUUCAAGGUUUUGCGAGCUAAAAAAUUAUUGUUCGAUUGACUGGAUCUGUUGUCCUUACUUUGCUGAACUCAAUUCCAUUUCUUCCUUGAUUUAGUCAUUUCAAGGUAUUCCUUAACCUCUGAUCUUGUAACCUUGUGUGGAUUUAGUAAACUCUUGUUUGUUGUAGAUUGAUUGUUGUUGAAAUAAAGUUAUUUGUUCUUCCUUGAUGAGUUGAAUGACUGCCAUGACUGAUUUAGCUAUAUCAUGAUUUUGUUUGAGCAUCAAAUUCAAAUUAAUCGUAGUUAUUCCAUCCCACAUUUACUAGAAUUACUCUUGUGUUAAUUGGUGAUGAAGAGGCUCGAUUGACUGAGCUAAUGGCUUAAGUUUACGGAUCCUAUCACUGGUUGAUUAGAUCAUUAAACAUUAAGAUCAAAGAGGCAAUUCCAGAUAUGUUCGUGGUGUAUUGCUGGUUGAUUUGUAUAUUGAUGUAAAACUAAAAGGCUUUUAGUACAACUAACUGUUGUUGUCAUUCUGCUUUAGCUCAUACAAAUGUAGUUAUAAUUGUAAAUUCAGAACAAUAAUCCCUGAUGUGACAGUAUAAGGCUGUAAUUUGUAAUGUUCGAGCAAUCAUGUGUUAAUGUUUGGAAUGAUUUUGUCGUUACUUUCAUUUCUGCAAUAAGGUACGGAAAUUUGGUGAAUAAUUAGAUGGAUUAGUUAUUAGAUCUUUGGUUUUAGAGCAGUGCUGAGCCAAAAAAAUUAGCCCAUACGAAGUCGUGCUAUUGGUUUGGGUUUUUCAUAGACUUGGAACUUUAAUACAUGUUUGGGCUCAUUUAGAGGCCCAAUUGGAGGCCUGUGAUUUCAAUGCGCAUAAAGAGUUGGACUAUUCGAGAAAGCUAAAGCACCUUGGGAUUCACUGUGAGCUCGUCCACACUCAUUAAGACCUGUUGGAGGUCUAAAAGUGAACACUUAACUUAAAACUCUAUUUACUUUGUAAUUAAUGAACAAACCAAUAGCAGUUCUUUUCUAGCCCUUAUCGAUUACAUAAACACUGCCUUCCUAAACAAUGCUUGUUAAUUUUACAACUCAUUCAUCAAAAUUCAUCCCCGUCAUUAUAAAUUUCAGUGACUAAUUUCAGAUCAGCCUUUAAUACUCUAAAUAGUGUAUGCUUUGAAUUGGCAAAUAGUUCAAAUACACCUUGUAUCAACAACUGAAUUUCAUAAUUUUGGACUUGUCACAAUUAAUCUCUAACUUAGAAAAGAUACAACUCACAAACAAUGCUAGCAUGCUUUUAGGCACGAUUAAUAAAUGAUCGUCAUAGUUAUGGGUACGGUUCCCGUGGCAUAACUGUGACACUUAAACCCCAAAUUCAAGAGCACAUUCGCGUGGCUUGAUUAUACAACUUUAAAUAAUAAUAAUAAACACGUUCUAAAUCACGAGUGCGUUUCACGUGGCGUGAUUUGCGAUGUGCAUAAAUAACAAGUGCACAACAUCGUGACUUGUUUCAAAUAAACUCCAUAAUUAUUAAAAAUAUAAAAUCAAAAGCGGUAAAAGGUAAAAUGCACAUAGGUUUUAAACACAUGUAGUAAUCCAAUAGUCAAGCCAGAUGUAAUUGUAAAGCGACCGUGCUAAAACAAGGAAUCGGGGAGUGCCUCACACCUUCUCCCGGGUUAACAGAAUUGCUUACCCGGUCUUCUGUGUUUCGCAGACUUAUACAGAGUUAAACUUUCCUUGAAUUGAGAUUUAAAAUAAAUCGGUGACUUGAGACACCUUAAUAAUUAUUCCAAGUGGCGACUCUAUAAAUUAAAUAAAUAAUUCAUUUUCAAUAAUGACACUUAAAAUGGAAAAUCUCCUUUCCCUGAAAAAAGGAAAUGUGACACCAGCUAUUGGGCUUUCUAAAUGAAUUGGAUUCAAUAGUUUUUGUUCAUGGCCGCUUCUUCUAACCAGCUUGCACUGGACCUAUGAUUUGGACAGUCCUCGUUGUUUUCUUUUGAAUUUUUUGAUAUUCACUAAGUUUCAUUUUAUUCGGUAUUCUUUCUUUUAAUUUAUUUUAUUAUAAUUGGCAACUCUUUAAUUUUAACACAUACUCGUAUAUAAAAAGAGAUGCUUGUGUUUGUUAUGUCAAAAACCUGACGAGAGACAUGCUUUUGGUAUUUUAUGUAGAUGUCAAGUUGUGCUAUGAGUACGUGAUAUGGAAUGACAUCUGCAUUUUUAAGAGUUUAGAUUAUAAAUAAAAGUGCAAUAAAAUUUUAUAUUAUCAAGUUAUUUAAAAAAUAAUUAGAUGUAACUGCCCUUGACAAUUUGGCAGUAGUAACCUAAAACAUAAACUAAGCAACCUACCAAAUAACCAAAUAGUGUAACUUUUUAUACCAUCAAUGUAUAUAAGAUAAUAUUUAUCUUUAUAAUGUCCAAUGCCGUUGUGUUAUCUUUAUAUCUAUUUAUAAUGCACUUCGUAUGUAAAAGCUGGCGGAGAGAGAAAUGGAAAUUCAAAUUGCAAAAAUUUAAAAGCUCGAAAGAGGUCCACAUUAUAAGAAUAAAGUAUGAAACUACCAAAGCAAGCUUAUAAUUAUAGACACAAAAAUUUUCUUACAAAAGCGGAUUUGCUUCAACAACCCGUUAGGGAUGACUCGCCAAAAAGGGACUGUCUUCAACAACCCAUUAGGGAUGGCUUGCCAAGCUACGCAAAUAGUAAAUUUGUUUAUAGUCGUAAAAGUUUUCCUACAAAGGGGCUGACUUUAACAACUUUUCAGGGACGACUUGUCAAGCUGCACAACUCAGAAAACUUUUGUACUAUCAUACACAAAAAGAUAUUUUCCUUUUUUAUCAAAACAUACGUCGCAUUAGUAAAGUAAAAAGAGUCACUAGUUUCAUGUACAAGUUGUGGACAAAUUUUCAUACCAAGAGAUCUCGUGUUGUAAAUCUGCAAAAACUAGUUAUAAGGUGAUUACACUUAUUUUUGUUUAAUUUUCUUCUAAUAAAGGAGAAACUAACCACAUAUAGGUUGUCCAGUAGGUGACUAAUAUCUUUACACACCUUUUGUACCAUCCAUAUACUAUCAUUACCAACUCUUUCGCAUCUGGUAAGAUGUAAUUUUUUUUACAAAUUUUAACGAACAACAAUUUUUAAUGCCUCCUAAAUACGAUAGCUUUAUAUUCUCUGAGCCUCAAUUUUCUCGGAGUAUUACUUUUUGGUUAAUUACUAAAAAAAUAAUAUUGAAACUUUAUCUUUAAUGGAUACUCUUCCAAUUUAUCAUGGUAUAAUUAUGAUUUUUAAGUUAUUUAGAAUUGACUAGUUGAAAUACCAAUUUUCAUAAUUCACCAACAAUGAUGAUAACAGAUAACCUAAUGCCUAGAGACAAGGAAUAAUUCCAGGAAUGAUGCUGGUAUAAAAAACCUUUGAUAAUGACAUUAUCGGGGAAAAAAAAAAAUCCUUUUUAUAUUUUUCUUUUAAUUUGUGGUCCUCAUUGUCUUAAGAGUAAUCCAUCAGAAAAUUCUUUGGCUUCAAUCAGUUCAACUUGCUAACGAAUUUGGGGGCUUUUCGGAUUACUUGGUUGAUUUUGAAUUGAAAUAUACAUAAAUACAAACAAAUUUAAUAAGUCAAAGGGAAUGUUUUCUUCCAUAUUUGAAAGUCUAUUAAGAUGUUACGCUAGGAGGAUAUAAAUAGUAACAACCCCGUUCAAAUAAGAUGUAAAACAUUAGAUAUUCUUGAUUUUGGAGUGAAAAACAAUGACCAACAAAAUUUACUGUUUUUUUUUUCUCUCUCUCUCAAAUUUUUGUGGUGAUAUUUUCAUCUUCUAGAAAAUUGAAACAUUUUAGGUGAAUAAAUAAAUAUUUUUUAAGAACCUUUCCCCGAAUUAAUAUGAAUCAGCAUAGAAAAAUCCAAGCUAGUAAUUAAAACCUUAAAAAUAAAAAAACGAGGUUCUUGGAAUGAUCUUCAAAAACAUAGGGGAUUUAGUAUAAUUUUACAAACUAGUGCGAGUAUCUAUAUAUUAAAAAACUUUAGGGCUAACAACAUAAUUAGUGAAGAAGACUAAUAGAUUGAUGACUUUUUAAAUGAUAGAAAAAUCCAAUACUUGAAAAUAUCUCAGAAUUAGAUUCCAGCACUAGUGGUCCAUAACGCCAGCAAAUUUGUAUCCUAUUUGUUGCCCUUAUAAUUUGUUAAUAACCUAUCCUCCAUGUGCAAACAAUAAAAAUGACCAUAAAUUAACAUUGACAAAAUAAUUGAAAAAGACUACUUAUAUUUAAACAAAAUCCAAUCUCGUUUAAUAUAUAGGCCACCCUGGUCCCUCCACGUGGCACCACCACACGUGUUGGACAACAACUGGUUACCUAGCAUUGAUUCAUCAAAACAUAGCUUGGCACAUAUAAAGAUUUUCUCACAUCUGACCUAACUACCAACCAUUUUUCUUUUAUAACUGUGUAAUUUAGACAACUUGCCUGUAUUUUCACUAUUUCAUAUUUACUUAUUAUUUUUCGUUAGUAUAAUAAAAUGCAAAUAUCACUUUUAGCUGGCGCUAUAAACUCUUAUAUUCAAUAGCCAAAAAAGUAAGUAUAUCAAAAUUGUAUAAUUUUGUAUAUAGCCAUAAUGUCAUAAUGUAUAUAUAUAUAUAUACAAAAUAUAUAUAUAUUUUGUAUAUUUUUUUAAGAGCAGCUAUACAGUGUCAUUUUCCUAUAAAAUUGAUGAGAUGCGGCAGUGAGAAAAGAGGAGAGAGAAAAAAAAGAAAAAUGAUGUAACUAAAUCCCCUAAUUCAAGACACUAAUAAUGAAUUGUAUAUAAUUUGUAAGUAAUCUUUGUUUAGGGUGGUAAUAUACAAAACUAGGACAAUUUUGAUAAAUGAAUUUCAAAUAUUGUAUAGGAAGGAAAAAAUCUCUAAUUAAUAAACGAGUAACUCAGCCCAUCAAAACAUAGACACGUACAAAAAAAUCAACUUACUAUAUCACUACUAAGUAUAGUUAGUACUUAGUAGUGAUAUUGAAGGUCACUUAGAUAUUAUACACAGAUGAACUUUGCUGGAUAAAUUAAAACUUUCUUCAGUCUUAGAAGCAACCUCUUUAUACAGAUCCUCUAAGACAAGCAAACUCUAUUCUGACAAUGACACUGCCACUGGUGGCAAGAAACUAAAAAGCCAGAGAAGAAUAUUUGCAAAAAUAAUUACAUGAAACUAAAGUCAAAAAUCAUAAUCAUACUCUCCUAUUUCCACACAAAACUUAAUAAUAAUAAUAAUAAUAAAAAGUCAUUCGGAAACCUCAAUGCACCUUCCCUUUUCUUGGCAAUCCUAUCUCUUGUAUUUUUUUUUAACCAAACAACAACAAACCCAAUGGAAUCCCACAAGUGAGGUAUGAGGAGGGUAAUGUGUAAGCAGAGUCGCAGACCUUACCUCUACCUUAUCAAGGUGGAGAGGUUGUUUCCGAUAGACCCUCGACCUCUUGUAUUUUUUAACCAAACAACAACAACAAACCCUUUGGAAUCCUACAAGUGGGGUCUGGGGAGGGUAAUGUCUACGCAAACCUUACCCCUACCUUAUGAAGGUGGAGAUCCUGUUUCCAAUAGAGCCUCUGCCUCUUGUAUUUUUUAACCAAGGAUAACAAUACGUCUAGCAAAAAAAUUACAGCUUACAAAGGGUGUCCAAACCUUUGUGGCCAAAGAAUGAGAUUGAUCACUGAACCUACUCUCCUACAUAAUAUGUUACUACAACAAACCUUAGUUAGACCUGGUAAGUAAACUUCAAUUUGAUAAUGUUAAAUUAAGUUUGAAAAUGAAGAUGUCAAUAUGUAAGGAAUCUUGGCAAGAGGACCUCUCUGGCAUGCCAGUUCAUGUAUAUCCUUCACAAUAUCAAAGACUGCAUUAGGUUGUGCAAGUUUCAGCGCGUUCUCUGACAUCGUUUUCAGCUCAUCUCUCUUGAUGGUAAACCAUUCUGCAACAAUCCGAGCUGUUUCCUUGGGGCGUCGCGUGAAAACACCUGCUCCAUUGUCUACUACAAACGGAACAUUUCCCUUCUCCUGCAAAUACACAAUGAAAUAUGAAUAAACAUCAAGAUCCAAUAAGCCAUCAAGAUUCGAAGUGAAUAGUCAACUUCUCAAAUUCGCUUACUUGUCCGGGAAUGUAGUCGUUCAGAAUAAUGGGAAGCCCCCUGAUUAAUGCUUCAGCAAUUGUACCAGGUCCAGCCUAUGAAGUGCAGAAACAGAACAUUUAGUCACAUUAUCUGACCAGUUUCCAAAGACGCGAUAUAGUUGUCUUAAAGUAAGGCAACAGAUUGACAUACCUUUGUAAUAAUACAAUCACAAGCACCCAUCCACUUCUCCAUUUGUGUCUGAAAUCCUUUGAUCUGAACAUUAACGAAUGUCAGACACUUGCCAUUGUAAAGUCUAUCCAACUUGUAUUAUCAUAGUUUUGUAAGGCUCUAAUUACAUUUACCUGAACGGGGAUGUUCCAUUCGAGUGAUCGUAAUGUGGAUGCUAGGGCUUCAUUGCGUCCACAUAUGACAAUCAUUUGACCGAUAGGUUUGCCAAGUUCCUUAUCGAACAGUGCUUCACCAAGAGCCUUUGCAGUUUUUUUCACAGGACCCAUCCCUUCACCGCCACCCAUUAGCAAAACCGCUGGCAACGUGGGAUCCAUCUCAAGUUCUACUCUAAGGCCAUCCUACAUAAAGUACAGAGGGAAAAUAAAAGAUUAUAAAUUAAAUUUUCAUCUCACAAUUGGAAAGAGAGAAAAAUGACUUGAAGAGGAAAGAAAGAGGAACGCAGCCUUUUUGUCAGAUUGCCAUGACAUUCACCUUGAUAAGAACUGCUCGACAAAAAGAAGGCCGGAUGGGCAAUCCAAAAAUGCGUGUUUGCGAUUCUUCCAGACGAUCUAGUAAGGCCCUCUUUGCUACCUCCUCCGAGGGGCAGUACAAACGAUUGACUCCUGGAUGAAACCUGAAAUGGGAAGUUUUUAGAAGUUGGACUGUUAUAUGAGAUGAAUACGUUAAAGCUCUAGAGUUCAUCAACAAGUUACCAUGUACGGUGGCAAGUGUUGAGAUCCGUAAUGACUGUUACGAAAAUUACUUUCUUCUGUAGGCCUUGCCAUUUAAGAACCAACAAAGGAAUGUGCUGCAUAAGAGGAUGAACACUAAUAAUUAUGUCUGGCUUGUACUCCAUUAGACCAGCUUCUACCUCUCUACAAAUUCAACAAUGCAAACAGAAAUUAGUAAACCCCUGUGGAAGUAGGCGCUAAAUACUUUAAUACAUUGCUCAAAGAAGAUUCAUCUCCAAUUUUCUUUUGAUGAGUACCAAAUUGAUCACAUAUCUUUGCAAAAGAUACAAAGCAGAAGAUUACUUUCCUGAUAACGUAAGCAACUAUGUCAGUAAUCUCCUGUAACAUCCUAGCUAGUGGUGGAUUCAGAAUUUAAACUCUACGAGUUCAAACUUUAAGUUUUUAGUAUUGAACCCAUUAUAUUUUUAACGUUAUAGGUUCAUGUCUACUAUUUGCUGCAAUUUCAGUAAAGUUUUAGCCAUAAAUUUAUGCUCCGCGUCGAAUGCUAUGGGUUCAAUUGUACCCGUACCUAUAACUAUACAUCCGCCCCUAAUCUUAGCAAUGAUUUAAUGAAGCAUAAGUGGUUUUUAACAAGCAUUAUUGUCAUGAUUAACAAUACACGUGUGUAAUUAAAUGUAGACAAAGAUAUCGAGGGUGACCUAACUGCAGUAUGAAAAAGAUAAGAUUCAGAAAGCAAUAAACUCAUUGAGAAUUCCCCUAGACAGAGCAUUAAACACUACUACACAAAAUAUCUAUAACUUGAGACAAUGCAAAAAAAGUUAAGAGCAGAGACGAUAACGUACUUGGCAUAGAAGGCGGCAAUAGCAGCAAGAUAAACAGAGUGUAUCCACCGAGGUGACGUGCCAUGAAAUGCGACGCUCCAAAGGCCAACAUGUUUAACCAUGAACUUGUAUUGUUGUUCCAUGUUGUUCAAUGGCCAGCCAGUGUAUUCCUUCCAAACAUCCUUGACAAAAAUCUGCAUGUAUAGACCACAUUAGGCAAAACCUAAUUGAAACAUGAAAUCAUGGUAGGUCCAAUACAGCAAAGACUUCCCAAGGCAUGUGAUUCCAUGGAUAGAAACCCCACAUCUUUAAUUGUUAAAAAAAAAUCAAUCUAAGGGCAACCCAAUGUACAAAGCAUCCCGCGUUCACGCAGGGUCCGGAGAAGGGCCGCACCCCAAAGGGUGUGAUGUAGGCAGCCUACCCUGCUGCAAGCAGUGAUAAAUUCUACGGCUGUGAGAAUCAUAUUAAAGUAACAAUAGGAGUAUAGGACAGAGUUAGGUCAGAUAUUAAAGAAGCUAGAUAGGUAACAUUUUACUUGAAAGAGUUAAAUCAAUAUGUCAAACAAAAAUUAACUACUUACUAUUAUUUUGCUUAAACUGCAUAAUUAACAUCAAACACGCAAUCUGAACAGCUGAAAACAGGUUUACUUAACAACUUCUCAACUUUAAAACACUAAAUCAAGUUUUCCAAUUUUGACAAUAAGAAAAUUGACCUCAUUAAUUAUUCCCCUAGGGGCCACACGCAAUUGACCUGUACUUAACAACUAAGCAAGCAGAUCACAGAAACUCAAAAAACUCCAAGAACCAAAACGAAGGAAAAAGCAAGCUGGUAAAAAACCAGAAAAAAAUCAAAGAUGUGUAAUAAGCAAUUAAAAGGCAUCCCGGUGCACUAAGCUAUAGCGGGAGGUCUGGAGAAGAAUCGGACUACAACAGUAUAUUGUAAUCAGCUUUCUCUUGCAUUUCUGCAAGAUGCUGUUUCCCUCGACUCUAACCUGUGAUCUCUUGAUCACAUGGCAAUAACCGGUAAAACUUUAUCAGUUACGCUAAUUAAAAGUUAAAAAAAAUACCCUAUAUUCAUCUCCAUAUUCUAACUUGAAAGCAUCCCGAAUUGCCUCAGCUGAAGCCCUAUGACCACCACCAGUAUCACUCAUCAAAAUAAGCACAUUUUUAGUCCUUUCAGCCCCAAUUUGCACCAUUUCCAUUGUGUCAUCUUCAUCUUGAAAAUCAUAUUUGCAUCUCUUCUGGCUGCUACCACCAAACCCAUAAACCCCAACUCUCUCCAACACUGUGUGUAUAGAUUUCCUAGGGGAAGUCACCUUAGUCACCAUAUUUUAACCUCUUUUUUCACCGAUCCCACAAAAUAUACAUAAAUUGGUCCAAAAAUCGUUACUUGAAAAGGUCAAAGACCCCCCAAAAGGUAACAAUUCAACCACCCUUUUACCUGCAAAGAUCAAAAGGACUAGUGGAAGGUUACAAAAAAAUACAAAAGGGUUUAAGAAUUUCCAAGAAAAUUCAGGAUUUGGACACCCUUUUUCAAGAAGAUGAAGUUUAUAGACCUAGACAAAACAAGUACGGAGAAAAUGGGGUUGGUAACUUCCUAUUUUCAGUAACUUUCGGAAGAAGUAGAGCUGUAGAGGGAAAGUUACAAUAACACAAAAAGUUUAACAAAUUUUAAAGAAAAUCCAAGAUUUGGACACCCUUUAAGACCCUUUAUCAGAAAAUGGAGGUAAGAGAGUUAGACAGUACAAGUAUGGAGGAAAUAGGCUGGUAUUUCUGUUAUAAUAAGAGAAACAAAGAGAGAAUAGAAGGUACUGUUUUAGAUACUGGAAUGAUGCUUUCAGUUUUAAAAAAUAAUGAUGCUUUCAGGGGAACAAUUAUGGCGGAGUUUUCAGUGAUUUAUAGCCGUCGGAUUUGUGCCUAGUAAUUUUGUGUUAUGGGGUCUGAAAUUUGGACUGAUUCGUUGGAAACUUGGAAUGUUCGGAUAGGCAGAUUCGAAUCUUUUUCCAUAGAAUUAUUGGUUUAUUUAAUAGAGCUUAUGCUAAAGUUAUUUACUCUUCCGUGAAUUUGUUUGAUUACACAAAAAUUUGACUUAAAAUUUGCGUUCUAAACAUGCUAUGUCCUUAUAAAAUUGCAUUCAUUAAGAAUAAGAUAGUAUUAUUAUCCUUUUAAAAUAAAUCAAAGGAGAAAAUGUGUCACAUAAAAUAAAAAAUAUUUUCUUACAGUUGAGCCUUUCUUUUAGGGGAAUUUUUAUGGAAUUUUCAAAUUAUUGUUUUAAGUGUUCAAAUUAAUUGUUUGUUUGCUUUUGUCAUUGUCUAUUACAGUUGUUAAACCCAUGAAAGUUGGUGUCCACUCCACUCUUUGCUUUUAUAAUUGUGGCCUUCCGUUUAUUAAUAUAAUAAUCAUAUAUAACACUGUAGUUUUUCUCAGAUAUUAUUUUCAUGUGUCAUAGACUCAUCACUCAUAGUUAAGCUUUCUUUGGUUGGAAAAUUUUCAGAAGAUAUUACUAUUAAUGUAUUUUUAAACUUUUAUGACUAUUCUUGUAGUGUUUUUCUAUAUUUGGAAGAAACACUUGAAAUAAGUUGUGAGAAAAUAUAUGUAGAUGACAAUCGCUUGACGUUAUGGCAAAGGUUGGAAGAACCAAAAUGUCACAAAUCAAAUAUGUGAAUAUUUCAAGCUAAGUAGUGUAUAAGUAGGGAUUUGAACAUAAAAAUUGUGACUUUUUGGAAGAAAAAAAAUAGUAUUUGAAAGUACGUUGAAAAAUAAUAUUUGAAAUUUAAAAUUUGAACAUGCAUUUUACUUCAAAAGAUAUUGCAGUUUUAUGAUUGGGAAUAAAACUUUUUGAUUUUUGAAAAACUCAAUUUCAAAAAAUCUCAAAAACUUAUAAUUUUUUAAGGACAAGCACGUUUUUGGAAAAAAUUGUGGAAAAAAGAAACUUUUUUUAUGAACAAACAGGUCCUUAGUGUUUUCAGCAUUUCUAACAUAAUGCAUAUUAAGUUAAUGUAAGAAAGAUUAAUGUAUGCAAUGUAAGAUUUUAAAUUAGAACAUUGUAGGUUAUUCCUACCCAGUGUUUUAAAAGGCGUGGGUGUAAGGCGAGACACUUUACAUAUGCCUCAGCGAGGCGUAAGCCCCAUACGUAUUUAAUUUUAAUAUUUUAUAAAAUAAUAUAAUUAUAGUAAAUAUUUAUAAAUAGGUAAAAUUACAUAAAAAUUGAAUAGAACUAUAUAUAUAUAUAUGUGUGCGCGCGCGAGCGCUCCAUCCCCACAAAAAAACUAGUCAAAAUAAUCUAUUAUACGCCACUUGCAAGUACAAGCAACUUGAAUCUAAAAGAAUAAAAAAUUUCACAUGGAGGAACAAAAAUGAUAACUAACCGACAAUUUGAAUUUUGAACUUGCUGCUAUGAAGGAGAAUGAAGUUCUCUUUGUGUAAAAAAAAAUUAAAUGUUCGUUGCGUUUGGGAGAUAUUAGCAGACUAGCGGACAAGAUAAAAAAUUUGGAAAGACCAUAAAUUAUGGCUUCAAUCAAUAAAAAAGGUCUUGACUUUUAAAUUUAAUACAUUUAAGUUUCUUUUUAAAAUUUUUGAGUAAUUACCGAGCUGACUUUUGAGAAUUUGGGUAUUAUAUAAAUGACUUAUUCAACAAAUUUUGUUUUAAUUUGAAAAAAUCUCUGGGGCUUACGCCUCACUAAAAAACGCGCCUCAAACGCCCAGGCGCACUUCCCGAAUUGCUGGGCAUAUGCCUUUUGAGACUUUCGCCCCACACCAUUGACUCAUGACGUUUUUGGUAAGCCUGGCCCCGAAAAUGCCUUUUAAAACACUGUUCCUACCACACAUAGAAAAACGAUUAGUUUGGCCAAACAUCCAAAUAAAGAAACCUUUUUAGACCGUAGAACCAAAUAAGCAAUCACAUAAACUUAAAGAGAAAAGAGAAUUUUUUGACGUCUACAUUUGUUAAAGUAGAAGUUUCCCACAUAACUUAUUGAGGACACUAUAAAAGGUCAUACUUCCUCAUGGAAAUAUCUUAUCCUCACUUUUUUAGCGACUUGCAUAUUCUUCUUUGGAAUUGAAAUUUGUUUGUUUCAAUCAAAGUUAACUCCUCCAAAAAUGCUAUGGUAAUUGGAGAUAUUAGAAGAGGAGCCUAGAAGUAACGGUACAGGUAUCUCUGUGUGAUUUAUAUGUCACAGGUUUGAAUCGUAAAAUUAGUUAUUGAUACUUGUAUCAAGGUACGCUGCCAUAAAUACGAGAUGUUUCGUGUAUCGAUCUGUCAUUUAUUGACCUCGAGAUACAAAUUUUCAGAAGAGUCCAUUUUUUUUUGAAUAUUUAAAUGUGGAGCCAUGAGACCUUCAUGUCUAAUUGUGACUGAUGAUUGACUAUAGUCUAUAGGGAAACAAAGAUGAGUAAGUUAAAGGGAUAUUAAAUCGGCCACUCACAUAAAUUAACAUGGGCAUCCAAAUUCAACGCUCUUUGAAUUUCACUUAUCAAUAAGCUGGAAUAGGACACAUAUCAACCAACGCUAUUGUAAUGACCAUAACACGCUUUAAAGAUAGUUAUUAGUACAAUAAAUGAGAUUUUAGGUGUGAAUUUGUUUUAUUAUGGGCAGUAGGGUCAAAAUACAUCUUUGGAUUAAUAUUAUAUCUAUGGUUUAAUCUCAAUACAGAGCAAUAUAGUUAACGAUUUACAGAUUCAUUUGAAUUCAAUNGUUUUGACUNNNNNNNNNNNNNNNNNNNNNNNNNNNNNNNNNNNNNNNNNNNNNNNNNNNNNNNNNNNNNNNNNNNNNNNNNNNNNNNNNNNNNNNNNNNNNNNNNNNNNNNNNNNNNNNNNNNNNNNNNNNNNNNNNNNNNNNNNNNNNNNNNNNNNNNNNNNNNNNNNNNNNNNNNNNNNNNNNNNNNNNNNNNNNNNNNNNNNNNNNNNNNNNNNNNNNNNNNNNNNNNNNNNNNNNNNNNNNNNNNNNNNNNNNNNNNNNNNNNNNNNNNNNNNNNNNNNNNNNNNNNNNNNNNNNNNNNNNNNNNNNNNNNNNNNNNNNNNNNNNNNNNNNNNNNNNNNNNNNNNNNNNNNNNNNNNNNNNNNNNNNNNNNNNNNNNNNNNNNNNNNNNNNNNNNNNNNNNNNNNNNNNNNNNNNNNNNNNAUCCCGAGUCAGUAUCUGUCUUCACGAUCGAUCUUGAUACAGUGCUAAACUCUUUAAUUUAUGGCAAGUCAUAGAGUUAAACCAACUAUUAUUUAAUUUCUCUAUAUUUUACACAUGUAACUGUUUUUUUUCUCUUUCAAAAGUUUCGCAUGUGGAAUUAAGGACGAAAAUAUACAAUUAAAGGCUCGCGAUCCUAUAUUAGGACAAAACAAUCCUUGAUAAUUUAAGAGAAUUAUUAACUGUCGUUUCCUUUUCAUCGAUACAUUUAGUAUAAUAAAUUAAAAAAGAUUUCCCUCAGAAACAUCGAUAAAAUUGAGACUUGUGAUAUGACACACAAGAGAUCAUUUUUUGCUGUAUGUCUUCGGUAUUCAAAUUAUACUAGUACGACUAAUGCAGAUUCGUAUCACUCAUUAAAGAGAGAAGUAUUCUCUAUCACGAGCUUUUGCAUUCACAGGACACGAACUCUAUCGAAACCUCUAGUUAAAAGUGGAAGGAUCUUCCUAAUCCCUUUAUUGGUCCAACUAAUCUUGAUCCAUACAACAUAAGGCUCACUGAAGGAGGGAAGCGCUUUCUAGAGGAUCAACAAUCAAUAUUUUUAUGAACUUAUGCUUUAAUUUUUAAUUUAUAUGCAACUCAAGUAUAAUUUUUAAUAUAAUAGUAAUGCGAUCCUUUAAAGUUCUGUAUUUAUAGAUAUUAAGUAUACGCGCAACGCGCGUAACAAGAGAUUGGUAAUUGGACCAAGUACUGCUUAAUGUUCUCUCACUCUUUGGCUACUGAUUUUAAGAGGGGGGAAAAAGUCAGAAUGCAGUUACUAUCUAUUUCAUGACACUCUCUUUGAUACCGUGUUUAACUCUUUAUUUUAUGGCAAGUCAUAGAGUUAAACUAUUUUUUUUUAUUUCGUUAUAUUCUGCACAUGUAACUGAGUUUUUUUCCUUCCAAACGUUUCGCAUGUGGAAUUAAAGAUGGAAAUAUAAAAUUAAAGCCUCUCGAUCCUAUCUUAGAUAAAGCAAUCCUUGAUAAUUUAAGGGAUUUAUUAACUGUCGCUUCCUUUUCAUCGAUACAUUUAGUAUAACAAAAGAAUUACCUCAUAAACAUAGAUAAAUUGAGACUUAUGUGGUAUGACACACAAGAGAUCAACUUUUGUUGUAUGCUUCCGAUAUUCGAAUUAUACAGGUACGAUUAAUCCAGAUUCAUAUUGUGUAUGACUCAGUAAAGAGAGUAGUUCUUAUAUUUUCAUUGCUCGGAUCUGAUUGAGACCUCUGGUUAAGAGAGGAAAGAUCUCAUCAAUCCUUAUAUUGAUCCAACUAAUCUAGAGUCUGUGUGACGUAAGGCUCACUGAAGAAGGAAAGCGCUUUCUAUAAGAGUUUCUCAAUUUUCAGGGUCUGAAUACUCUUUAAUUAAGAGAGGAAUUAUAUAAUCCAAUUAAUUCACUUUUCAUUUAUGUUGUUGUUAGUCGAUAUUGGCUAAUGAAAUUAGUAGGCAUUAGUUGCUGAGUUGGCUCAAUCAGUUAGGAAGUCUUUAGGGAUUAGUUAGAGCACAUCUUGUGCACAUGGGUCCGAAAAGUAGUUAUAACUAACUUUCCCAGCCAAAAUAUUCUUCCUUUAUUAGCUAGCCUAGAUCUGAUUUGUAUUCAUUCUGUUUUGGCAAAAGAAUCAAUAAAAUCUUUCUCUCUCUCUCUCUCUCUCUACUUCUCUCUAAAUUCCGUCUGGGUUACAAGCUCGAGUGGAAUGUUCAAGUGUAAUUCUUUGUUUUACUCUUUAGGAACACUCAAAUUCUUUCUAUUUUUGUAUCGCAAUUGGCAGAACUGUAUCAUUGUAUCAUUGCAAGCCAUUCUCGGACCAAACAAUGGGCGAUCACAACACAUGUGUGCAUGAAUUGUGAAAAAUGGUUGAUAACCUCAAGGGUUCCAUGGAUAUUAUGGCCAGUUCUCUUUCUGAUUCGAGGCAGAUGAUGGAUGCGAAGGUGACACAGGCUAUGGACGAAAUCAAAAAAAAUGAUAUUAUGCAAUUUGACCAUGGGAAGUGACGCACAGUCGUCGGGGGAAGCAACAGUUUCAGAUUGAGUUCCAACAGUUGCUCAAACCAUGAAUGACGAUUACCAAUUGCCAACUAGGGGUUAUUAAAUUGAAUUUCCAAAGUUUAAUAGGGAAGGAUUGAAGGAUUGGCUAUACAAGUGCGAGCAAUUCUUUGAUGUUGAUGGAACUCUUGUAGGUUCUAAGGUGAAACUAGCUUCCUGCAAACUUGAAGGCAGGGCUCUUCAAUGGCACCAAUCCUUUAUGAAGCAUCGGAUGUCAGGAGAAUGGCCUAGGUAGAGUGAAUAUAUUAGGUGCAUGUAUUCUAGAUUUGGAUUGGGAUUGUUUGAUGAUCCUAUGGGAGAUCUUAAGGACCUGAGACAAGUGAGUUCAGUGCAAGAUUAUGUUGAUCGUUUUGAUAAAUUACUCACUAGAAUAGAGAUGUCUGAAGAUCAUGUAGUUAGUUGUUUCACCAGAGGGUUGAAACCACAGAUUUGAUUGCUAGUUAAAAUGUUAAGUCCUAGAACCUUAGCUAAGGCUAUUAGUCUGACCAGGAUACAAGAGCAGACUUUAGUGGUGCAGAAGGAGGUUUUCACCUCUGCAUCUAUCUUGCCUACUUCCAGAAACACUCAUAGAUUUCCAAAUUCAUUGUCCCAUAAAGUUCUUCCUACCUAUGUGGGAAAUCCAAAAACAACAUACAAGAAUCCCAAAAUAUUGACCCCUGCUGAGAUGGAGGAAAGGAGGAGGAAAUGAGGAGGAAAGGUUUAUGUUUGAGCUGUGAUGAGAGAUAAUACAUUUGGACAUGUGUGCAAGAAGAAGAAGUAGUUAUUCUUCAUGGAGGUAGAGGAACAACAUGAAUCAGUUGAAUUAGAGGAGGAUGUGAUGUUGGAUGCAACUGAACUCUUAACAAUAAUGGCCCAAGGGUUAGAGACAGAUAAUGAUGGAUCCAUUUUGCCUCUUGUGUCAAUGCAUGCUAUAAGUGAAAUUCAUGAUUUUAGAAUCAUGAGGGUGACAGUUUCUGUCAAAGGCAAAGAUGUACAAGUUCUCAUUAAUACUGACAGCACACAUAAUUUUCUGGACAUCAAUAUUGCCAAGAAGUUGGGGUGUUUGAUGAAUGCUAUUGCUCCUUUCAAUGUAUCAGUUGCUGAUGGUAGCAAGGUACAAAGACAUUACAUUUGCAAAAACUCGGAAUGGAAGAUGCAAGGAGUGGCUUUCAACUCUAACAUGUUGAUACUGCCUAUUGGGAUGUGUGGUAUUGUGCUGGGUAUCCAAAGGUUAAUUACCUUAGGCGAUAUCAUGUGGAAUUUUAAGAAACUCAAGACAGAGUUCAACUUUAAUGGAAGAAAGGUGUCUCUCAGAGGGAUCUAACCUCCUGCUGUGAAGGUAAAUGCUUAAGGAAGGAUGGACAAACUGCUAGCCAAACUUGUUGAGCACUACAUGAUUUUAAUGGGGCUAUUUGUAUAGGAGAAGAAGACAAUAGGGGCUAGCCUAUGUGCUAUGGGAGGAGAGGCUGCUGAAGAUAUGGAGAACCAGGAAUUGUAGGUGAUACUGGAGGAGUACAAUGACUUGUUUGAGACUCCUACUGAGUUACAACCUUCUAGAACUCAUGAUCACAAAAUAGUUCUGAAGGAUGGAACUCACCAGUGAACAUUAGGCCCUAUAGAUAUCCUGCAGUUCAGAAAGAUGAAACAGAAAAGAUGGUGGAUGAGAUGCUGGCUACUGGUAUCAUCAGAAGCAACACUAGUCCAUAUUCUUCACCUAUUGUAAUGGUGAAGAAAAAGGUAAGACAUGGAGAUUGUGUGUAGACUACAUGGAGUUGAACAACUGCACAGUCAAAGACAAGUUUUUCAUCCCAGUCAUUGAAGCAGUUAAGUGCUAAAAUCUUUACCGAUUGAAACCAUCAGAUUAAAAUUUUAAAUCUGCCAUUGUAUCUUGUAUAGUCUUCUAUCAUUUAAUAGAUCUCGAGACCAAGUGUGAUCAUUUCUAAUUUCCUCGUAGACAGAAAGAACACAAUAGAAACAAAUGUUAACAUGCCUAAAUUUUGAUUUCCAAGAUUCCACUAGUGAUGUCUCUUUUUUUUUCUUUUUUUAAUUUUUUUAAUUGACUAAUCAAUAUGGAAAAUUAUUAAUAUCACUACGAGACAAGUGCAAGGGGUCAUCACUAGACUAAAUUUGAGGUCAAUCGGACGUGGUUUGAUAGGUUUCGGCAUCGAAUGUAGAAAUUGAAAGUUCAAAAGUGCAUUAUACUUGAAUCGAAGCGCGAUUCCUAGUUUUAGCGUUGUUUGAUGUGAUUUGAAGGAUCUAAUAACUUCUUAUCAUAUUUUAGGACUUGUUGGUAUAUUUGGUCGAGGUCCCGGGGGCCUCGGGUGGAGUUCGCGUGGUUAACGGAUCAAAGCUUGGAGUUAGAAGGUUGCUGAAGCUGGGAGUCUUCAGGUGCAAUUGCACCUGCUGAGCCUUGACUGCAGGUGCGAGCUGGAAAUCAUAGGUAUGGCCAGGAGAAGUGAGUUCAGUGGUCACAGGUGCGAAGGUUUGACCGCACCUGCAUGGUCACAAAUGCGGUAAGGUUGAGCGCAAAAGUGAGGGGGAAGCGCAAGAGCGGAUGUAAGUCACACUUGCAUGUGCGUAGAAGCGGAGAAUGUUUCGCAGGUGCGAAGGUCUGUCCCCAGUGAAUUACCACAGAAGAGAGAGAGUUGUCGCUUCCGCGAAGCCGCAGGUGCAGGUAAGCUGUCGCAGGUGCGAGAAAGCCUUGACAGAAUAUAAACGUUGGGUUUCCGAGGGUUUUAUCAUUUCUUUACAUUGCAAACUCGGAUUUGGGCGAUUUUUGAGAGGGAUUUAGAAGGGAUUCUUGAGGUAAGUCACUUGUGGUUAUUUCUAUUCAAUAAUUAUGUUUCCCCAUCGAAUUUCCCACCUAGAUUGUGUGGUUUUGAGGUGUAAUUUUGGGAGUUUGAGGCUAGGGAUUUGGAGAGUUUAAAUUGGAGAUUUGGGUGUCGAUUUGGUGUUGGAUUUUGGUUAGUUUGGUAUGGUUAGAUUCGUGGUUGAAUGGGCUUCCAGAUUUUGUGACUUGUAUUGGAUUCCGAGACAUGGGCCUAGAGGCCGACUUUUGAGUUGACUUUUGAAUUUUGAUUAAGAAUUUAGUAUUUUAUAUGGAAUUGAUCCCAAUAGCUUGAGUUGAUCAUAUAGAAUUGUUUAUGGCUAGAUUCGAGGCAUUCAGAGGCCGUUUCGCGAGGCAAGGGCUUGUUGGAGUAGAGUUUCACACAGUUUGAGGUAAGUAACACUUCUAAAUUUAGUUCUGAGGGUAUGAAACUCUGAAUUACAUGUUAUGUGAUUGGUGCUGAGGUGAUGCAUACGUUAGGUGACGGGCGUGUGGGCGUGCACCGUAAGAAUUGUGACUUGGUUGAUUCCAUGGAACCAUAUAGUUGAUUAAUCUUGUCGUUACCCAUAUUUCCACCAUGUGUUAGAGAAAUUGAACUACUGUUAUGUUAGAGAAUCAUGCUUAGGCUAUGUUUUGGUACUGUAAGGACUCACUGAGGUCGUGUUACAUGUUGAAUUAUCUGUUAAAUUGCCAUUUUGUACUCAGUCACACUUUUUACUUGUAUAUUAUUACUCAGUAUAUUAUCGUUGCUUGGGCCGAUUAUCAUGAUUCUUGAGAGCCCGAGAGAUUGGAGAGAUUAUGACUGAGUGAGUCGGGGGCAUGAUUGUGAGUAUAUUCAUGGGAGCAGGAUGUACGCCACAAUAUGUUUAUUUGGUUCAUGCCAUGAUCGGCUUAUUAUAGCGCUUCAGCUGAAAUUGCCCCUCCGGAGUCUGCACAUCCACAAUGGGCGCAUGUACCCAUUGAGUGCGAGUGCCGAGCCCGAGUGCCGAUUGAUUGGGAGGAUUGAGUGGCUGUGAGGAUGGAAUGACUGUGAGGAAUGAGUGACUGUGAGGUUGGAGUGAAUGGGAGGAAGUUUAGUAGAAGAGUGAGGAUGCAACUUUCGUACCCGUUACUUCACCACCCACUCAUCCAGCUUGGGGUGGGGCCCAGGCAGCUAGAGGUCUCCCUAGAGGGGAGGCCGAUCAGGUGGCGGUCAGGCCCAAUUCUAUGUUAUUCCUGCCAGGCCAGAUGUUGUUUCUUCAGAUACAGUGAUCACAGGUAUUAUCUCAGUAUGCCACAUGGAUGCUUCUGUAUUAUUUGACCCUGGUUCCGCUUCUUCGUAUGUAUCAUCGUAUUUUGCUCAUUAUCUGGCUAUGCCUUAUGAGUCCUUAGUUUUAUCAGUUCAUAUAUCUACACUUGUGGGCGAUACUAUUAUUGUGGACCACGUAUAUCGGUCAUGUGUAGUGACUAUUGGGGGAUUAGAUACUAGAUUUGAUCUCUUAUUGCUUAGUAUGGUUGAUUUCAACGUGAUCUUGGGUAUGGACUAGUUGUCUCUAUGUCAUGCUAUGAUGGAUUGUCACGCUAAGAACGUGACGUUGACGAUGCCGGGGUUACCAAGGAUCGAGUGGAGAGGUUCCCUAGAUUAUAUUCCUAGAAGGGUGAUUUCGUAUUUGAAGGACCAACGGAUGGUUGGGAAGGGGUGUCUGUCUUAUUUGGCCUUUGCGAGAGAUGUUGGUGUUGAUACUCCUACUAUUAACUCUGUUCCGGUGGUGCGAGACUUUUGGGAUGUAUUUCCUGCAGACCUAUCGGGCAUGCUUCCCGACAGGUAUAUUGACUUUGGUAUUGACUUGGUGUCAGUCACCCAGCCCAUUUCUAUUCUUCUAUAUCGUAUGGCACCAACUGAGUUGAAGGAAUUGAAAGAGCAACUUUAGGAACUUCUUGAUAAGGGGUUUAUUAGGCCUAGUGUGUCGCCUUGGGGUGCACCGGUUCUGUUUGUGAAGAAGGAUGGUACUAUAUGGAUGUGCAUCGACUAUAGGCAAUUGAGCAAAGUUACAAUCAAGAAUAAGUAUCCUUUGCCGCGUAUUGAUGAUUUAUUUGACAAGCUUCAGGGAGCGAGGGUGUUCUCUAAAAUUGCUUUGAGGUUUGAGUAUCACCAGUUGAAGAUUCGGGACUCGGAUAUUCUAAAGACGGUAUUCAGGACCCGUUAUGGUCAUUAUGAGUUCCUUGUGAUGUCUUUUAGGCUGACCAACGCCCCAACAACAUUCAGGUAUUUGCUGAAAAGUGUAUUUCAGCCUUAUCUCGACUCGUUUGUCAAAGUAUUCAUUGAUUAUAUCCUCGUGUACUCUCGUAGCCAGGAGGAGCAUACCCAACAUUCGAGGAUUGUGUUGCAGCGGCUGAUGGAGGAGAAACUUUAUGCCAAGUUCUCAAAGUGUGAGUUUUGGCUUAGUUCAAUGGCGUUAUUGGGGCAUGUGGUGCCCAGUGAGGGGAUUAAGGUGGAUCCAAAGAAGAUAGAGGUGAUUCAGAGUUAUCCCAGACCGUCCUCAGCUACGGAGAUUUAGAACUUUCUCGGCUUUGCUAGUUAUUAUCGUCGCUUCGUAGAGGGUUUCUCGUCUAUUGCAUCGCUUUGACCAAAUUGACCCAGAAGGGUACUCCAUUCAGGUGGUAGGAUGAGAGUGAGGAGAGCUUUCAGAAGCUCAAAACUACCUUGACCACAACUCCACUUCUAGUUUUGCCUUCAACUUGUGGCUCUUAUACAGUGUAUUGUGAUGCUUCUCGGAUUGGUAUUGGGUGUGUCUUGAUGUAUAAGGGUAGAGUGAUUACGUAUGCUUCGCUCCAGUUGAAGCCUCAUGAGAAGAACUACCAUGUCCAUGAUUUGGAGUUGGCUGCCAUCGUUCAUGCAUUGAAGAUUUGGAGGCAUUUUCUCUACGGCGUGUCUUGUGAGGUAUUUACGGAUCAUUGGAGUCUCUGACACUUGUUCAAACAAAAGGAUCUAAAUUUUAGGCGGCGACGAUGGUUGGAGCUGCUAAAGGACUAUGAUAUCACCAUUCUGUAUCAUCCCGGGAGGGCCAAUAUGGUGGCCGAUGCCUUGAGUAGGAAGGCGGUGAGUAUGGGUAGCCUUGCAUUCAUUCCUGUUGGUGAGAGACUACUUGCAGUUGAUGUUCAAACCUUGGCCAACCAGUUCGUAAGAUUUGAUUGUUCGGAGCCUAGCUGGGUUCUAGCUUGUGUGGUUUCUCGGUCUUCCUUAUAUGAUCGCAUCAGAUAGCGCCAGUAUGAUGAGUAGGAAGGCGGUAAGUAUGGGUAGCCUUGCAUUUAUUCAUGUUGGUGAGAGACUGAUUGCAGUUGAUGUUCAAGUCUUGGCCAACCAGUUCGUGAGAUUUGAUUGUUCAGAGCCCAGCCGGGUUCUAGCUUGUGUGGUUUCUCGGUCUUCCUUAUAUAAUCGCAUCAGAUAGCGCCAAUAUGAUGAUCCCCAUUUGCUUGCCCUUAAGGACACGGUUUAUCACGGUGAUGCCAAGGAUGUCACUAUUGGGGAUGAUGGGGUGUUGAGGAUGCAAGGUCGGAUUUGUGUGCCUAAUGUAGAUGGUCUACGUGAGUUGAUUCUUGAGGACGCCCAUAGUUCGUGGUAUUCCAUUCAUCCGGGUGCCACGAAGAUGUAUUAGGACUUGAGGCAAUAUUAUUAGUGGAUGAGGAUGAAGAAGGAUAUAGCAGGGUUAGUAGCUCGGUGCCUAAACUGUCAGCAGGUGAAGUAUGAGCAUCAGAGACCGGGCAGAUUGCUUCAGAUUCUUGAGAUUCCAGAGUGAAAAUGGGAGCGUAUCACCAUGGAUUUUGUAGUAGGACUCCCACGGACUUCGAGGAAGUUUGAUGCUAUUUGGGUGAUAUUGGAUCGGUUGACCAUGUUCGCUCACUUCAUUCAUGUUAGGACUACGUAUUCUUCAGAGCGGUUGCUUGAGAUUUACAUCCGCGAGAAUGUUUUCCUUCACGGUGUGCCAGUGUCUAUUAUUUCAGAUGUGGGCACGCAGUUUACAUCGCAGUUUUGGAGAGCAGUACAAUGAGAGUUAGGCACCAUGGUGGAGUUGAGUACAACAUUUCACCCUCAGAAGGACAGACAGUCCGAGCAUACUAUUCAAAUAUUUGAGGAUGUGCAACGCGUUUGCGUCAUAGAUUUCAGGGGUUCAUGGGAUCGGUUCCUGCCGCUCGCAGAGUUUGCCUACAACAAUAGCUACCAAUCGAGCAUUCAGAUGGCUCCGUAUGAGGCUUUGAAUGGGAGACGAUGUCGCUCUCCGGUGGGAUGGUUUGAGCCGGGUGAGGGAGGCUAAUCUAUUGGGUACUAACUUGGUUCAGGAUGUUUUGGACAAGGUUAAAUUGAUUCAGGAUCGGCUUCGCACAGCGCAGUCUAGAGAGAAGAGUUACGUCGAUCGGAAGGUUCAUGAUGUUGCUUACAUGGUUGGGGAGAAGGUACUGCUCAAGGUUUCAACCAUGAAGGGUGUUAUGAGGUUCGGGAAGAAGAGAAAGUUGAGCCCUCAGUAUAUUGGGUCGUUUGAGGUGCUUCAGAGGAUUGGGGAGGUGGCUUACAGCUUGCCUUGCCGCCAAGUUUGUUGAGUUAUCAUACAGUAUUUCAUGUUUCUAUGUUCCGGAAGUAUGUCGACGAUUCGUAUCAUGUUUUUGAUUUCAUCACGGUUCAGUUGGAUGGUGAUUUGACUUAUGAUGUGAAGCCGGUGGCCAUUUUGGAUCGAUAGGUUCGAAAGUUGAGGUCAAAGGAUAUAGAUUCAGUGAAGGUGUAGUGAAAAGGUGAACCAGUUGAGGAGGCUACUUGGGAGAUCGAGCGGGAGAUGCGGAGAAGAUAUCCUCGCCUAUUUGAGACCCCAAGUAUGUUUAUAGACCCAUUCGAGGACGAACAUUUAUUUAAGAGGGGGAGGAUGUAAAGACAUGGCUGGUCGUUUUGAGAGUUGUAGCCCUGUUCCCCCAUUUACUGUUCAUUCCCUGCUUAAUUGUUGUUAUGUUACUUGCUGGGGUAGUUGGUUCGGGUCUGGAGAGGUUUCGAAAUGAGAUAAGACACUUAGUCUUAAGGGUUGAAAGCUUAAGUUGAAAAGGUUGACCGGAUAUUGACUUAUAUGUAAAUGACUCCGAAAUUUAGUUUUGAUGGAUCUUCUAGCUCUGUUGGGUAUUUUUGGACUUAGGAGAGUGUCCGAAUUUUGAAUUGUAGGUCUGUAGUUGAAUUAGACUUGAAAUGGCAAAAGUUGGAAAUUUAGAAGUUUGACCGAGAGUGGACUUUGUGGUUACCGGGCUCAGAUUGGGGUUCCGGGAGUUGGAGUAGGUUCGUUGUGUCAUUUGUGACUUGUGUGCACAAUUUGAGAUCAAUCGGACGUGGUUUGAUAGGUUUCAGCAUCGAAUGUAGAAGUUGGAAGUUCAAAAGUGCAUUAGGCUUGAAUCGAAGCAUAAUUCGUGGUUUUAGCAUUGUUUGAUGUGAUUUAAAGGCUCGACUAAGUUCUUAUCGUGUUUGAUGGAGUUCGGGUGGUUAACGGGUCAAGGUUUGGAGUUGGAGGGUUGCUGAAGCUAGGAGUUUUCUGGUGUAAUCGCACAUGCGGAGCAUUGAUCGCAGUUGUGAGCUCGCAUGUGCGAGCUGGGAAGCGCAGAUGCGGCCAGGAGCUUGGAAGCGCAGUUGCAGUGACGUUGAGCAUAGAAGCGGGGGGGAAGGAGUGGAACUAAGUUGCACCUGCGUGUGCGCAGAAGCGGAGAAUGUUUCGCAUGUGCGAAGGUCUGUCCCCAGUGAAUUACCGCAGAAGCGGGAGAGUUGUUGCUUCUGCGAAUCCGCAUGUGUGGGUAAGUUGUCGCAGGAGUGAGAAAACCUAGACAGAAUAUAAACGUUGGGUUCCGAGGGUUUUAUCAUUUCUUGACUUUGCAAACUUGGAUUUAGGCAAUUUUUGAUUGGGAUUUCAAAGGGAUUCUUGAGGUAAGUCACUUGUGGUUAAUUUUAUUCAAUAAUUAUAUUUCCCCAUUGAAUUUCCCACCUAGAUUGUGUGGUUUGAGGUGUAAUUUUGGGAGUUUGAGGCUAGGGAUUUGGAGAGUUUAAAUUGGGAAUUUGGGUGUCGAUUUGGUGUUGAAUUUUGGUAAAUAUGGUAUGGUUGGACUCGUGGUUGACUGGGCUUCCAGAUUUUGUGACUUUUGUUGGAUUCCGAGACGUGGGCCCGGGGGGGGGGGGGACUUUUGAGUUGAUUUUUUCACUUUUGAUUAAGAGUUUAGUAUUUUUAUAUGGAAUUGAUCCCUAUAACUUGAGUUGAUCGUAUCGAAUUGUUUAUGGCUAGAUUCGAGGCAUUCGAAGGCCGUUUUGUGAGGCAAGGCUUGUUGGAGUAGAGUUUCACACAGUUUGAGGUAAGUAACACUUCUAAAUUUAGUUCUGAGGGUAUGAAACCCUAAAUUACGUGUUAUGUGAUUGGUGCUGAGGUGACGCACACGUUAGGUGACAGGCGUGUAGGCGUGCACCGUAAGAAUUGUGACUUGGUUGUUUCCAUGGAACUAUAUAGUUGAUUAAUCUUGUCGUUACCCGUAUUUCCACUAGGUGUUAGAGAAAUUGAGUUACUGUUAUGUUAGAGAAUCAUGCUUACGCUAUGUGUUGGUAUUGUAGAGACCCACCGAGGUCGUGUUACAUGUUAAAUUAUCUGUUAAAUUGCCAUUUUAUACUUAGUCACAAUUUUUACUUGCAUAUUAUAUCUCAAUCUCUCUAUUAUCCUUUAUUAAUACAGUAUAUCAUUGUUGCUUGGGCCAAUUAUCAUGAUUCUUGAGAGCUAGAGGGACUGGAUAGAUUAUGACUGAGUGAGGACGAGGGCCUGAUUGUGAGGAUAUUUAUGGGAGCGGUCUGCACGCCGCAGCAUGUUUAUUUGAUUCAUGCCAUGAUCUAUUUAUUAUAGCGCUUAGGCUAAAAUUGCCCCUCCGGAGUCUGCACAUCCAAAGUGGGCGCAUGUACCUAUUGAAUGCGAGUGCCGAGCUAUUGGGAGGAUUGAGUGGGUAUGAGGACGGAGUGACUGUGUGUAAUGACCCAAUCGGUCAUUUUAACUUUUAGAAACCCGUUCCCUAAAAUAAAACUCCAUGAACAUGCUUUUAUUAAUUUGUGAUUUGCGGGGAUGGUUGGUUCGGGAUUUGGAAGUGUGUGGGUUGAAAUCGGAACACUUGGUUCCUUAAGUUAGCUUUAAAUGGACAAGUUUGACUUCGGUCAACAUUUUGAGAAAACAACCUCAGAAUCGGGAUUUGAUGGUUCCAAUAGGUUCGUAUGAUAAUUUUGGACUUGGGCGUAUGUCCGAAUCGGGUUUUGCAUAAUCCGGGAACGUUUUGGCUCUUAAUAGUAAAAAAAUCAACUAUUCGAAGUUUUGAAAUUCUUUAAAUUUGGUUUGGAGUAGGAUUUUGAGUAAUUGAAGUCAGUUUGGAAUUCCGAGUUUGGGAAUAAUUCCGUAUAGUGAUUUAAAACUUGCACGCAAAGUUUCGUGUCAUUCCGAGAAGUUUAAAUAUAUUUCGACGCAUUGGAAGUAAAUUGAAGAACUUGAGAUUUUUAAGUUUGAAUCAAUUUGGUUUGGGAUAGGAUUCUUAGAUUUGAUGUUGUUUUACGCGUUCCGAGAGUUCGAGCGAGUCCGUUUUAUGAUUUUAAACCUAUUGAUAUAUUCUUGCGGGGUCUCGGGGACCCCGAGUGUCAAUCGGACGAGGCUCGAACCAAGUUGGAAGUUGGGAGCCAAAACUGAAGCUCCCAGCUACUGUCAGAAUCGUACCCUAUGACUUGGGACAGGUUCACCCGUAUCUUCUUGGACAGGUAUAUUCCACCCUCCCAGAGGGAAGAGUUGCGGCUUCAGUUUGAGCAGCUCCAGCAGGGUCAGAUGUCAGUGACUGAUUAUAAAGCGAGGUUUUCUGAACUAUCUCUCCAUGCACUUAUGAUACUCCUUACUGAGGCGGAGAGAGUGCGGAGGUUUGUAGCCGGUUUACAUACUGGCAUUCAGGCCACUAUGGCUCGAGAAGUUGAGAUGGGUACUUCUUAUGAGUGAGUUGUGAAGAAAGCCCGGAGGAUUGAGGGUGUGCGUCAGCGGAGCCGUAAGCAGAUUAUGAGAGAUAAGCGGUUCAGGUACUCUGGAGAGUUCAGAGGUGCUCCGUCUGGGGGCAGAGGUCAGUUCGUGAGGGGACAGUCCAGCAGACCCCCAUUUCCAACACCACUACCUCUUCGAGGUGCACCAGUGUGACCUUAUUUCAGUGCUAUACCAGAGAGUUCCUACCGCCCACCAGCUAUUCAGGGUCCUCCCAUUGAGUAUUCAGGUCCCCAGGGCCAGACUCUUAGUCAGUAGCCCAUCGCACCAAAGAGUUGAUAUGAGUGCAAGGAUCCCAAUCACAUGCGGAGAUUUUUCCCCAGGCUUCGGGGUAGACUAGUACAACAGGGUCAGCAACCCAUGCUUAUCGCACCAGUUGCUCCACCAGUAGUCCGACUACCAAGAGGUGGAAGACAGGUGGGUAGGGGUCGUCCUAGAGGUGGAGGUCAGCCACGCGGAGGCCAGCCAGUUGGCGCUCCAGCUCGGUUCUAAGCUUUUCCGGCUAGACCAGAUACAGAGGCCUCAGAUGCUGUGAUUACAGGUAUUAUUUCUGUUUGCGGCAAAGAUGCCUCAGUAUUAUUUGAUCCAGGAUCCACGUAUUCAUAUGUGUCCAUUCCUGGAUAUUUCUCGUGAGUCCUUGAGUACUCUUGUUUAUGUGUCCACUCCUGUAGGCGAUUCUGUUAUUGUGAACCGGAUCUACUGGUCUUUUAUUGUUACAUUCUGUGGUUAUGAAACUAGAGAAGAUCUCUUAUUGCUCGAGAUGAUNNNNNNNNNNNNNNNNNNNNNNNNNGUCUGUUAGUUCAUUUAAUCGGGUUAUUUCUUUUAUAAAGGCUCAACACAUGGUUGUGAUAUUGAUUCAGUGCCAGUAGUUCGGGGGUUCUCCGAUGUAUUUCCUUCAGAUCUUCCAGGUAUGCCACCUGAUCGUGAUAUUGAUUUUUGUAUUGACCGGGCUCCAGAUACCCAGCCUAUAUCUAUCCCACCGUAUCGCAUGGCGCUGAAAGAAUUGAAAGAAUUGAAAGAACAACUUGAAGAGUUACUAGCCAAAGGGUUCGUCAGACUGAGUGUAUCGCCUUGGAGUGCACCGGUAUUAUUUGUGAAAAAGAAGGAUGGAACAAUGCGGAUGUGUAUUGAUUAUCGCCAAUUGAACAAAGUCACUAUUAAGAACAAGUACCCGUUGCCGCGUAUUGAUGAUCUAUUUGACCACUUGCAGGGUGCUAGGGUGUUCUCUAAGAUCGACUUGAGAUCGGAGUAUCAUCAGUUGAAAAUUCGAGAUUCGGAUGUUCCGAAAAUUGCUUUCCGCACUAGAUAUGUUCAAUAUGAGUUUCUGGUGAUGUCCUUCGGUUUAACUAAUGCCCCGGCAGUGUUUAUGGAUUUGAUGAACAGGGUAUUCCGACCAUAUAUUGAUUCAUUUGUCAUCGUCUUCAUUGAUGACAUCUUGAUCUACUCGUGCAGUAAGGAGGAGCAUGAGCAGCAUAUGAGAGUAGUGCUUCAGACAUUGCGGGAACAAAAGCUAUAUUCUAAGUUCUCUAAAUGUGAGUUUUGGCUUGAGUUUGUAGCAUUUUUGGGAUAUAUUGUAUCGGGGGAGGGUAUUAAAGUUGAUCCCAAAAAGAUUGAGGUAGUUCAGAAUUGGCAUCGUCCCAGUUCAGCGACAGAGACUAGGAGUUUUCUGGGUUUGGCAGGUUAUUAUCGUCAGUUCGUGGAGGGUUCUUCAUCUAUUGCAGCACCUUUGACCAAAUUAACCCAGAAGGGUGCUCCGUUCUGAUGGUCUGAUGAUUGUGAGGUGAGAUUCCAGAAGCUGAAGACAUCAUUGACUACAGCACCAGUGUUAGUGUUGCCUUCCGGUUCCGGUUUGUAUACAAUGUACUAUGACGCUUCACGCAUUGGUUUGGGUUGUGUAUUGAUGCAGGAAGGAAAGUUAUUGCAUAUGCUUCAUGUCAGCUGAAGCCCCACGAAAAGCAUUAUCCGGUACAUGAUUUGGAGUUAGCUGCGAUUGUUCAUGCUCUUAAGAUUUGGAGGAAUUAUCUUUAUGGGGUGUCUUGUGAAGUUUACACUGAUCAUCGCAGUUUGCAACAUUUGUUCAAGAAGAGGGACCUAAAUUUGAGGCAGCGCAUGGCUGGAAUUACUAAAAUAUUAUGAUAUUACUAUCCUAUAUCAUCCAGGUAAAGCAAAUAUAGUUGCAGACGCCUUGAGUAGAAAGGCGGGAAGUAUGGGUAGUUUGGCUUUCAUUUCAGCGGAAGAGAGGCCAUUAGCUUUGGAUAUUCAGUCUUUGGCCAACAGACUUGUGCGGCUGGACAUUUCAGAGCCCAACUGAGUUCUUGCAUGUGUUGUAGCUCAGUCUUCACUAUUUGAACAGAUCAAGGCUCGCCAGUAUGAUGACCCACACUUAAUAGUUCUUCGAGAAACGGUACUACGAGGUGGUGCCAAGGAAGUUACUAUUGGUGCGGAUGGUGUUUUGCAACUCCAUGAUCGUUUGUGUGUUCCUAAUAUGGAUGAACUGAGGAAAAAGAUCCUGGAGAAGGCACACAAUUCUCGGUACUCUAUUCAUCCAGGUUCUACGAAGAUGUAUCGUGACUUGAGGUAGCAUUAUUGGUGGCGACGAAUGAAAAAGGAUAUAGUUGAGUGUGUAGCUAGGUGUUUAAAUUACCAGCAAGUUAAAUAUGAGCACCAGAGGCCAGGUGGCCUAUUUCAGCAAAUGACUAUACCGGAAUGGAAAUGGGAACGCAUCACUAUGGACUUUGUAGUUGGGUUGCCGCGGACCUUGAGGAAGUUUGAUGCAGUUUGGGUGAUUGUUGACUGGUUGACCAAGUCGGCACAUUUUAUUCCUAUUGUGACUACGUAUACUUCAGAGAGGCUGGCCCAGAUUUAUAUUCAGGAAAUAGUUUGGUUGCACGGUGUGCCAAUUUUUAUCAUAUCAGAUAGAGGCCCUCAGUUUACUUCACAUUUCUGGAGAGUAGUACAGAGUGAAUUAGGGACCCGUGUAGAGCUCAGCCUUUGUCCGAGUUUGCUUAUAAUAAUAGUUACCAAUACAACAUCGAGAUGACUCGAUUUGAGGCUUUAUAUGGUCGUCGAUGUCGUUCACCUAUCGGAUGGUUUGAGCCCGGUUAGGCUAAGUUAUAUGGUACUGAUUUGGUAAAGGAUGCCUUGGAAAAGGUAAAGUUGAUUCAGGAGCGACUUCGUACAGCAUAGUCAAGACAGAAGAGUUACGCGGAUCAGAAAGCGCGUGAUUUAUCAUUUAUGGUAGGUGAAAAAGUUCUCUUGAAGGUUNNNNNNNNNNNNNNNNNNNNNNNNNUAUCGGGAGUUCAUCUAGUUUUUCAUGUAUCUAUGCUUCGGAAAUAUCAUACUGACCUAUCACAUGUGUUGGACUUCAGCACAGUUCAGCUAGACAAGAGUUUGGGUUAUGAAGAAGAGCCAUUUGCCAUUGUUGAUAAACAAGUUCGCCAGUUGAGGUCCAAGAGGAUUUCUGCAGUAAAGGUCCAGUGGAGGGGCCAACCAGUCGAGGAAGCGACUUGGGAGGCCGAGGAAGACAUGCGGAGCAGAUAUUCUAAACCCGUUCGAGGACGAACGUUUGUUUAAGAGGUGGAGAAUGUAAUGACCCAACCGGUCAUUUUAAUUUUUAGAAACCCGUUCCCUAAAAUAAAAUUUUCUAAACAUGCUUUUAUUAAUUUGUGACUUGCGGGGAUGGUUGGUUCGGGAUUUGGAAGUGUGUGAGUUGAAAUCGGAACACUUGGUUCCUUAAGUUAGCUUUAAAUGGACAAGUUUGACUUCGGUCAAUAUUUUGAGAAAACGAUCCCGGAAUCGGGAUUUGAUGGUACCAAUAGGUUUGUAUGAUAAUUUUGGACUUAGGCGUAUGUCCGAAUCGGGUUUCGGAUAACCCGGGAGCGUUUUGGCGCUUAAUAGUAAAAAAAUCAACUAUUUGAAGUUUUGAAAUUCUUUAAAUUUGGUUUGGAGUAGGAUUUUGAGCAAUUGAAGUCGGUUUGGAAUUCCGAGUUUGGGAAUAGUUCCGUAUAGUGAUUUAAGACUUGCACGCAAAAUUUCGUGUCAUUCCGAGAAGUUUAAGUAUAUUUCGGCGCAUUGGAAGUAAAUUGAAGAACUUGAGAUUUUUAAGUUUGAAUCAAUUUGGUUUGGGGUAUGAUUCUUAGAUUUGAUAUUGUUUUACGCGUUCCGAGAGUUCGAGCGAGUCCGUUUUAUGAUUUCAAACUUGUUGGUAUGUUCGGUCGGGGUCCCGGGGACCCCGAGUGUCAAUUGGACGAGGCUCGGACCAAGUUGGAAGUUGGGAGCCAAAAUUGAAGCUCCCAGCUACUGUCAGAAUCGCAUCUGCGCUUGGCCAGUCGCAGGUGCGACAUUCGCAGAUGCGACAGAAGCUCACAGGCACGGCACUCGCAGAUGCGAUAAUUCUUCACAAAAGCAGAAAAGGGAAGGGGAGGCCAUCGCCGCAGAUGCGGAAUUUUGGCGCACCUGCGAUCGCGCAUGUGCGAAGCAGUGUGUGCAGAUGCGAGUUUGGCCAAGGCUAGUGAGACUCGCACCUGCGAGGAUUUUUUGCAGGUGCGAAAGCCGCAGGUGCAGUACACUGUCUGCAGGUGCGAAAAUAACUGUUGGGCAGAAUGUGUUAAAAAUCGGGGCUCAGUCAUUUUGAGCCCAUUUUCUUCCAUUUUUGGGCGAUUUUGGAGCUUUUGAGAGGAGAUUUCAACUAACAACUUUGAGGUAAGUUAAUUCUACGUCCUUUAAGUUAGAUACAUAGAUUAUAGGUAGAUUAUAACUAAUAAAUCUUAGAAAUCAAGAGUUUAGGUGAAAACCCUAGAUUUUUAUAAAAGUGAGAUUUUAACCACGAAAAUAGUUAUGGAAUUAGGUAGAAAUUAUAUAUUCAAGUUCUUGAGGUUAUGGGUAACGUUUUUAUCUAAAAAUUUCCAGAAUCCGAACAUGUGGGCCCGGGGUGAAGUUUAGAAAUUUUACCAUUUUGUAUAAGGUAAUUUAUUUAAUCGAUGAAUUUCGAAUUAUUGAACAUAUAUUAAUUAUUUUAUAUAACUUUUGGAUAGUUUCGAAUUUUUCGGCAUUGAAUCGAGAAUUUUACAUGUCGCGAUAAUCAGAAAGUGGACUUUGAGACGAGGUAAGUCUCUUGUCUAAUCUUGUGAGGGGAAAAUUACCCUAUAGAGAUUAAAUUGAAUAAUUGUUGCUAAUUGUGGGGGCUACGUACGCACGAGGUGACGAGAGUCCGUGUGUAGCUACUAUAAAUGCUAAAGUCCGGGUAGUUUAGGACUCAAAGCAAGAAUUACUUGUGUAAAUUGUAUUCGUUGUUUAACUAAUAUUAAUUGAUAUAUAUGAAUAUAUUGUGAAUUGUUAGAUAAAGAUAUUAAAGGAUGGAAAUCUCAUAUGUUUGAUUUUCUGUUUAAAUUAACUUAUUUAUUAAAAGAAAUUAUUCUUCCUCCCAAAUUUAUCUUAUAAUAAAUAUACUCUCCUUCCGGUGGUACAUAAAAAAAUGUCCUCCUUUCUUGUGGAGCGGGCCAAACGCCUCGUCAGGAUAGAUGCAUCUAUGGAUCGCGACGCACGUCCCUCGGCAGUGUACACGACACUCUAGAUCGGGCCGUACGUCCUCGACAAAAAUUGUGCUUAAUAAUAAUAAUAAUUACACGAUACUUUAAUAGCUUAUUUUAGCUUGCGUAGCUAAUUGAUAAAUUGAAAAAUCCUUGGAAUUUAAUGAGUUAUCAUUCUUACUUGUUAAAGAAUUAAUUGUUAUUCCUGUAAAUAAUAUUUAAUUGAUAAAUUAGAAAUUAUUUGAAUUGAAGGAAUUUAAUUAAUAUAUUGAGAAUUGUUGCAUUUGAAGAAUUUGAUUAUUUUCGAUGAUUAAAUAAAUUAUUUUAAAUUCUAUAAAUCAUGUUGAUUUAAUUAUCCUAGUUAUAUUUCAAUUAUUAUUAUUGACCCAUAGUGAGUGUCAAAGUCGGUCAUCUCGUCUCUACCACUUCGAGAUUAGGCUUGAUACUUACUGGGUACACGUUGUUUACGUACUCAUACUACACUUGCUGCAUUUUUUGUGCAGGAACUGAGGCAAGUACUAGUGGGGGACCUAUCGUCUUACACCCACAUUAUCCAGGGGUAUAAUGGUGAGUUGUUUCUCUGAUUCGUUCUGCAGCUACUAGUGUCUCUUUUUGUACUUUUCAUUCUGUCUAUUUUUAUUUCAGACAAUAAUUGAGGUUUUGUAUAAUCUACUAGAUGCUCAUACACUUGUGACACCAGGUCUUGGCACACAUAUUGGUAGAGUUUGGAUUUUAUUAUAUUUUCUUGGUUUUAAAUUUUAUCAAUGUAUGCUUAAUGUAUUAGUUGGGUUGCCUAGCUGUAGUGUUGGGUGCCAUCACAACUUAUAAAUGAAAUUGGGUCGUGACAAUGUGAGUAAUGAGUGACUGUGAGGUUGGAAUGAAUGGGAGGACUGAGUGACUGAUACUCUGAGAGUAUGCACAUGAUUUCAUUACUGUUUGUACAUCAAUUGGCAUAUAUAUCUGUCAUGUAGUUACCGAGAUGUACAAUCUCCUGUUUCAAUUGGACUUGACACGAUUUAACUAUUCUGUUCUUUAACUGUCAAACUUAAAAGCAUGCCUACAAACUGAGUUGGUUGUACUCACGCUACACCCUGCACUUCAUGUGCAGAUCCAGAUAUUUCGGGACACGGUGGGUGCUGAUUAUCUAAGCAGCUUAGUCAUUCGGAGAUUUUGAGGUAGUUGCCCGGCGUCCGCAGACCUUGGCCCUUCUUCCCUAUCUUUCAGCUUUAUGUAUUUAGUUUCAGUUUUUCAUACACAGUAUUUUAAACUUGUGUUGUAUAGACGCUCAUGCACUUAGUGACACCCUAGUUUUGGGAACUUCCGUAUUGAGUUUUGAUCUUCUAUCCAGUUUAUGAGAGCUUUAAUUAUUUGAACAUGUUUUAGUUCAUUUUUUUUUCAUUUAAAAGUGUUGGAAAUGUUUUGAGGUGUCGGCUUGCCUAGUACCAUAUUAGGCGCCAUCAUGACGGGCUAAGUUUUGGGUCGUGACACAUCCUAGCUCCGCCUCUGACUUACAACCAUCUGAAAGUACAAGAGGGGAGGGGUGAAUUAUAUGCCUAGUAAAAAUUUAGUCGACUAUAUUUAGACUUAGUUGACUGAUGCGGAGAUAACCUGUACAAAACUGUUAGUCCUUUCAAUUUAAACAAAUGUAAAUCAUAACAAACAGUAAAUCCACAGAAUAAUAUGAGAGUGAUAAAGUAAAUGACACUAGGAAUUUUUAUACUGGUUCGGAACCAAUGUGGUAUCCUAUCCAGUCCUCUUGGGUUGCAAGAGUGUUAUCUUUUAGAGCUCUUUGUAAAUUGAACUGAGUACAGCCUUUUUGGUUUUCAGCCAACACCACCAACGUUUACAAGGUUGGUUUUCACUCGCUCACUAAAGAAACGAACAAUAACACAAUCUCUCAGUAUUUUUUCCUUUCUCUCUACCUUUUAUGGCACUUGUAAACUUAAGAAUAUAGUGCUUGACUAAGGUGUAGAAAGAGUAGGAAACUUGUAUGCGAAGUUGGUACAUCUUUACUGGUGCAUUCUGGUAUUUAUAACUUUGGUCCUUAACUAACCGUUCUAAAAACUUCUCUGAAUCUUCUUGAAAGAUGAAUGAAGUCCUUCUUGCAAUCUUGAACAGAUUGUGCUUGAUUGUUGUAAAUUUUCCUUUAAGAGCACUUACAAUUAACGCUCAUAGAGAUGUGUUUGUGCAGCCCAAAGGAAUUGUAUCUUUGGAAAUUGCUGAUGAGAUCUCCAAAGAGGUUGUGAUUCUUUCUUGAAUCCAAUCCAAAGAGAUUAUUUCCUUUUCUACGUUACUUAAAAAGUCUUCCUCCAAUUCUUUCAAUUACUAGCCUUGAUUGGAGAUUCUUCAACUAAUCCUUGAUUGUAAGAACUAGCUCCAAUAGUGGAGAUUGACUUCCUUCCUCUUGUUGUAUCCACAUGCAACAUAAUUUCACCAAAUCCUUCUUCAUUAAUUAUACUUGUAUCAAAAUAAAUUUACCACAAGUAAAUAUUCUUUCAUUAAAACUAAUAUUGAUUUGUUAUCGUCAAAAUCAAUAGGUGAAACCUUGGGCACCGUAUCAAUAUUGGUUUUAUAGUUUUUUAUUUGGAUCAACAAGUCAAGUUGGUUGUUUUUUGAGAUAAUAAUAAUUUAAAGAACUUCUCGUCAAAAACUAUAUAUAGUCAAGAAAAUAUUAGGAAAAUGAAAAUAAAAUGUCAAAUGCAUAUGAUUUUUAUUCUAGAAGAACAAAUCGUCAAAAAUAACACAUCUUUUUUCUCAUUUUAUACGCCUCUGUAAUAAUUUUACUACCAUUUUCUCAUAUAGUUUUAAAUAUUUUGAAUUCUAAAUUUAUGACUUAUAGUACGUUAUAAAGUUUCUAAUAAUAUGAUUCUAAUUGAAAAAUUAUAGAAUUGAUGCUCUGAUGCACCUAAAACAUUUAAUUCGUUUACUUUGACCCAUCAUUCUUUUUUUUGGAUUAUUUUUUAAUUAUCACUGACUACUAAUGUAUAUGUGAAGCUUGGAAUGUGCGGAUCCUAAAAUUCGGAUCUUUAUAAAGCAAAGUAAGGUGGGAGCUAAUCAUCACGUUAUCACUGUCCAUGAGAAUGGCUAUCUGUGCACUUGCCCCAGUGGCGAAGCCAAAAAUUUUCGCAAGGAUAUUCAAACUUGAAAGAAGUGAAAAAUUCCCCGACAAAGGGUGUUGAGUAUAUGUUAUACACCUCUAAAAACUAAUAUUUUAUCUAUAUAAACAAUGUAAUUUGUCGAGUCAUUAGACUUGCCCAAAAGAACCAAUGUGGCCUUUGGCCAACAUUAGAGAAAUAUCAGUAGGAACUCAAGCACAUUCUUAAUGCAGAAAAUGACUCUUUUUAAUUCACUAAUAUUCUAUAGUUACUACUUAUUAUGUUAACUAUAAGUCAUCCACUCACAUUGAUUGCAUAAUCAGUGUCCAAAAUCAUACAUAAGGUUUUUAAAUAAAUGAGACUUUACAUUGUUCUGACUUUGGUUACAUCUUCAACCCUGCUAAAUUAAUUAGUACUAUACAGCUCCUUCAUUGCUGCUAUAUUUAAGCUGUUUGAUAUUUUAAGCAAGGAGAUGAAUGCUAAAAACAAACACAAAUUUUUUAUAAUCAAGAAACCUCCAGAGGGGCAGUUGGCACACAAUUAGAAACUAGGUGAAUAAUGGAUCCGUCGCUCUAUCUUUCGUGCACCUUAUCAGCACAUCAUGUGUUGCGCUCUAUCUUUCGUGCACCUUAUCUGCACAUCAUGUGUUGCGCUGUCACUGGUGAUCCAAAGCAUCAAGCACUUAGAAACAUGCACACUCAAAUAGAACCACCCAAUAGCUGGAAAAAUAUAUACAUGGGCAUUGAUCUAGUAGCAAGAAGUCUUACAUUGUGAAGAAGAAAAGCCCCCCAUACAUGAUGCCAUUUACCAUUUCAACUCUUUCCUAUACUAUAUUUGCAGAUAAAAAGCAUCGAAAAUCAUUUACAAGAUUGUAUCUCUCUAGAUGAUUCUUAAUCGCUCAACCGGCUACGUUUCCCUCUAAAUACAUCUAAUCUCCAAAAAGAUUAUUGGUAUCCAGGCACAAAAGUUGACCUAC
rnacentral:lncRNA from 1 species